AAUUUUAAUAAAUAGAUAACAAUAAAAAAGAGGGUAAGGAAAAAUCGGGAAAAGAAAAGAGAAGAAAAGGGGAAGAACAUUUGUUCUUCUUUUCUCUUCAUCUUCCCCAAAAUGCUGAAACCCCAGAGGAGAAAAGGGAGAAAGGAAUUCUUUAAAAUUUCUUCUUUUCCUUAACUGUGAGAAGGGAAAUCGAUGGUGAAAGGAAAGGGGAAAACUUCAUAUUUUCUUCUAUAUUAUAUAUAUAUUAUCUGUACUUUUACUUUUCUUUUCUUUUGUUGGUCCGAAUGGAUGAAAUAAAAAGGAAGGUCGGUUGCAUGGAGGGAGAGGCCAUGGAUUUGGCAUAUUAAAUAGUUGUUUCUUCAUAUGAAGAAGCUUGAGAGGUGGGAGACGGUUAAAGUGGUAAAGGCAAGGAGAAAGUUUGUGCUCGUAACAGCAAUUUGGGGAAGAAUUCGGUAAGUAUUCCUUGAAAUUUACACACUUACUCAUUUAGUUAAUUGACAAGUCGAAUUAAACUAGUUGGUGACUUCAAUUAAGUCGUCUGAAUUUUAUUAUUAAACUGUCAAUUAGCUGCUGUUGAUUUUCGGUUAGGAACAAAUAAAUCAUGUUGGAAAUUUGAAGAAAUGGUUGUAUAUAAAAAAAAAUGGCUGCUGUUGGUUAUGGUGUGAGUUUAACUUAUUUCUUGAAUGAUUAAUUGUACUCUAAUGCUGGUAUGUGUGAUGAAAAUUAAGGGAAAAGUCUUGAUGAUUGUUAGUUGUUGAGUGAACUGUCGAGGCAUGCAAACUCCAUGCAUGCUGUCCGAAUAUGACUUUUUGUAAUGAAAUUAAGGUAACCUGCUACUGCAAUUGAUUAAAUAUUAAUGUCCUAAGCUGAAAUUAGAAGAUGUCAUAGUUAUAAUUAAGAUGUCCUACUGUUUAAUCUUGAUUAAAAUGCAAGUAUUUAUGCUGUAAGUAUUUAUGUUCUCUUAAACCGUUAUUUGAAGCGGAUUAAUCGUCGUAAAUUAAACGGUCUUAAUAAUGAAACUGUGGUAUCUUCAAACAACAAAUUGAGAGGGGUUAUAGCUGUGAUUUAUAGUGCUUUGGUGCCGUGGUUAAAAUGUAUAACUCUGAGAUUGAUAUUGAUGAUGUGCCGUUAAUGAGUAAAUUGUGUUUUAUUUGCCGAAUGACUUGUUAUUUUAGAAGUACAAAUUGAGUCUAGAUUAGCUAGAUUAGUUUAUUGUAAGUUUAAAUGCUGCUCGGAAAUAGUGUAAAAAUUACUGCUAUCCAAUUUUGUGCCCCUAUUAUGCUGUCCAAAAUUUGAACAAAUUAAUGGUUCUAUUUUCAUGUCGAUUGAGGGCUGUAAAGAUAGUCCCAUUUGUUGCAUUAUGCUGUUCAGUUUUGGGACCAAAUAAUUGAGUGUUAUUGGAUUAAAAACCAUGGAUUAUUGCUGUGAUGAGCUAAUAAAUUUUAAUACUAUUGAGUGUGUUCUUCCGGGAUACAAAUGCCCUGCAUGUUGCUGUCUUGUGCUAUCCAAAAUAGGACAAAUUGAAUGUGCUUGUGAGUGAGUUUUUCAAAGGAAACUUUGCAAAUUCUCAUGUUUAAAUUCUAAUGUUUGCAUGCAGGUAAGCUAUGGUUGUAGGGGUUGAUAAAUCGAGUUUAGUAGCUAAAAUAUUAUGUUCUUCUUACUAAGUUCGGUUGUUAGUAGUGAAGUAAAAAUUUGACAAUUAAAUGCUUAGAUGACUGCUGGAAACUACAGCUUGAAAGCUCAUUAUUCCAGUAUGUAAAUACUGAUUUGAAUGUGCUGUAAUAUGUGGAGCAAUUGGUCUGCUGCAUGUAUGAAAUAAAAUAAAAGAAAACAAUAGUUGUUAAAUAUUAGUUUUUGUUGCUGAUCGGAAGGGUUAAAUUCGUUGUUAAAGGGGAUGUAAAUUGGUGUUAAUUAAGCUGUUCGGAUGGGGCUAAUAAAACAGUUUGAAUGUGAUGCUAUUAAGCUGAUUUAAUGUCUUGUAAUGUUGAAGAUUUGAUGAUGUCCGAAGCAUAAGUUAAAGCUGUACAAAACCGAAUAGAAAAUAUUGGUUGUCAUUAUUUUAACUUGGCCGCUGCCCUUAAGGGACAUUUGCGGUCCGAAUGAUGGAAAUAUCGAAAUUUUAGUAUAUAAUUUCCUACCUAAAUUAAUUGAUAGCGAGCUUGAAAUUUAUAUGUACUCGAAUGUUUUAUAUUCACUGUCCAUUUUGCUGUUAUUUAUACUAAUAUAUUGAGUUAACUAAGUUGUCCAAUUUUUGAUGUUAUAUAAAUAGCGAUAUAUGAUAGUUGAUAAUGGUUUGUACUAUGCAGAUGUUUGAUGUUGAUGAUGCUAUGUGAAUAUUUAGAUGAAGUUAUAAAGUUUUUUUUUUGUGUGUGUGUGAACCGGUAUAUAUAUAAUUGGAAAAUAGGAACGAAUAAAUAGGUUAAUAGUGGAGAUACUGAUAUAUAUAUAUUAAUCAUGACUUGGUCAUGGGUCUAAAUGUAUGAUUUUAUUUAUUUAUUUGUAUUGGAAUGAAUGUUUUCAGUUGCUCCGGCAACAAAUGUGAUAUUCUGUUGUUUGGAUCCGAUGAUUGGGUCAGGUAUUGGGUGUUACAACUUACUUGUUCCGUACUUACCUGGAAUCCAGUAGAUACCUUAAUAUUCUAAUUUCACUGUUCUUACUUAAGGCUAUACUGAACAUGCUAAAUCAUUUAAUAUGGAACCCCGUCAUACGGGAAAUCCCUCAGAAUGUGCCACGCAGGCACCUCUUUUAGAUCACACCACAAACCAUUUCUUUACGAUUUUUCCACAAAGGCAGUUCUUUCAGAGUACACCUGAAAGGCAGUUCAUUUACAAUGCGCCAUAAAUGUUAUUCUUUUAGAAUUUGCCACAAAGGCUACUUAUUCAAAGUUUGCCACAAAGGUUAUUCUUUCAGAGUUGGUCACGUAAAUGCUCACAAAAUGCCAACUAACUAGACAUUUCAAGACUGUCGUGUUUGCGAUAUGAAUUUACUUAAAACUCACAUCGCAUGAUUCUUGCCCGUCACUGCUUCGAGACACGCACAUAAUCCCCGGCGACAUAUGUCGUCCUUAAUUCCUUUUUCAGAUAUUGCCAUGGCCAUGGAUUUUUCUUUAGAGUUUUAUAUCAGAGUUUGUGUUUUUUGUCUCGACGGGCUUUGUCAUAUACCACCGCGAUGACCAGACACAAACUUACUUUAUAGAUUUUUCAAGCACUGCCACAAUUUAAACCCAAUACUUCAAUUCCCUAACAUACACCCUAAAGAACACACUUCUCCUAGCCUACAUUCCGGACAGACAUAUACAACCAUACUUUCACAACUCAGUACAUAUACGCCACACAUCACAUACUUGAAUUUAUCAAAUUCUUUUCCAAAUAUACAUACUAUCCCUAACAAACAUUCAUACACUCAUAUAUUUUCUUUAGUGAUCAUUCGUAUAGCCACAUAUAUAACAUACUCAAACUAUACUGUCUAUGUAUCAAAAUUCAUAGUUCGAUCAAUCUCUUACAAACAUACUUCGCUGUGAACAAUAUACAUGCAAGAGUUAGUGUAAAACUCUCCUAACACUCACGACCAACAACUUAAGCUCUAGGCUCAAACAUCCAUUAUGAAACUACAACAACCACCUCUUAUAGAACAUAGGAAUAUCGUCAAAGACUCAUUCAAAAACAAUUCCUUAUUUUUUGAACACUGAUAACCACCAUGCAGAGCCUCGUACUUUAUUCUACUACUCAUAUAUUCUUUAUAGACUACUUUUUCUGAGUUUAACAUGCAAAGUCAUAUUACUUACCCAGACAUGCAAUAAAUAUUGAGCAGAUCCAAGUUACAACAUCUAGCUUAAAGAAGAAAGAAAUGUUUUUGGUUCCAAAAAAAAAUCAGAUAGUAGUAUUUUAGAAGAAGGAAGAAGAAGAAGAAUAACCCUCUAUCUCUAAACACAUACACUUAUAUAGAUAUUCCAAUUUUCUUAUAAGAGCCCAACACUUGUCACCUGAAUUUAGAGCUUGUUUUUCAUAAUGGCCUACAAAAUCUGAGAAUGAAAUAAAUGAAAAUUCAAUAUUUUAAAUACACGGUUAUACAAUCUAGUUGACUCCUAACUAGAUUAUCUUGUAUCAUAACUUGAACAGUACUUUAGACAUAUAGGUGCACUAUACCUCUGGCUUGAACUCAUAUCAUAACUACCUUUUUACUCUACUGUUAUCAUUAACUUACAUAAAGAUCUGUUAAAUCUCAACGAAUAGUACAAACAUCUCAUUGAGCGAUCAAAAUCACCUCAACAAAAAAAUAUCUACUCAUAUCUCUCUACAAAAAAUAAAAAAAUAAAAAAAAAAUCUCUAUAAAAAGUCUAAUUGGACCCCUUCUUCUAUGGUUGGAAAUGAGAGUAUUAUUAGAAUACCAUUGAAUCAAGAGGUAGAUCCAAAGAGUAAUUUGUGUGCGUUUAUAUUCGGAGGAAAUCUAAAUUUUCUUUAAAUUCUAUGAGAGGUGCAUUGAAAUUCACAUGACCCUUAAACCCUAAAGGUUAAUAGUUGGUCCCAUGCCAUCUCUAUUGUCCAUGUUAUAGAGACAUUCCUAUCUAGCUAAUCGGAUGUGACCCCUGGAAUCUCCUCGUUCAUAUUUGGCUAUACAAUUUGGCUAUGUGUACUAAAACCUCUUUGAUUUGAUCUAAUCAUUUAAACCUUCCUCACUUUGAUUUUGUGAAAAUAAGUAGAAUGUUAUUGCAUUUUUAAAGUUUACAAAAAACAAAUGGAUAAUCUAGUAGAUUUAAAGGCUGAUGGUAUGUCAAAAUGUACACACUUUAUCUCAUGGUGUUGUUUUAACAAGUUGGAGCUAUUAUGUUUAAAUUUGAUUAUAUUAAUUGCCCAAAAAAUUCUUUAGUACAUGAAAUUAAAGUUAGUAAUUUGGUAAUUUAGGUAUUAAACGUUUUGAUAUUUACAUUUGAAUAGCUCAAGUGUUUAAUAUUAAACUGCUUAAUUCAAUUUGGUGAAUAGAAAAGUUUUAAGAUACAAAACAGUAAUCGCACACAUUUGGGAUAAUAAAGAUGCUGGUCCAAUAUAUCUUAUUAGAUCCAUUAAAUUGUCCUACAAAGCCCAUAACAGGACACUCAUAAUUAGCCCGAAAAGGCCCAUAUUAUAAACAUCCAAUCACACCCAAACAGGCAAUCCUAUGAAACAAUUCACGUUUUAACUGUAAACUGUAUUUUGUGAGAGUUGACCCUCCACUCACUCAGUUACCUACCCACGCCGCCAAUGGGGUCGCCGGAAACAACCACUACAUCAUUCCCAUCUUUCCUGAAGCCCCUAAUAACCAUAGACGCCUCGGUUUCACUCUUCCUCCACACACUCUUCAAGCCUAUCUUCCCAAUUUUCCUUCUCCUCCUCCUCGAAUACUCCGCCGAUUUCUGGUUCUCCUUCCCUGUUUCCCUCUCUCUGUUCCUCGCUUCCCCUUCCUUUUCGUCUCUAUUCAUCCCUUUCAUCCUCGGCCACCUCCUCGAUCUCGCUUUGAUCGGCCUCAUCAAACUAACCUUCCGCCGUACCCUUCCUCAUUACAACCCAAACAUGUCCCCUGCUGUUCGCGCUGAUAACUUCUCAUUCCCUAGUGGCCACGCUUCAAGGGUUAUGUUUUUAGCUACUCUCUUCCACCUUAUUUUUCAAAACCACGGGGGACUCAUUUCAGAUUUUAUUCUACGGUGGGUUAAAUUUCAACCCGGUUUUUUUCUAUUUGGCGUAUGGGUUUGGGCUAUUCUGACUGCUAUUUCAAGGGUUUUGCUUGGAAGGCAUUUCCUUUCCGACGUUUUGGCCGGGGCGUUUGUUGGGGUGCUUGAAGGGAUUGUUGCGUUUCAGUUUUUGAGAUUUUAGAGAGCGUUCUCAAAGGUAUGGGGUUUGAUUUUUUGUUACUAAUGUUUGUACUUUUUACAUGGGGGGAAUUGUUUUGCUUUGUAAUAAUUGAUUUCAAAGUUGUUGAUAAUUGAAAUUCAUACUAUGUAUUUUAAGCUAAUUAUUUAUCACUCUUUGGAUUGCUUUCAAAAUUGUACAAUUUAUAAGCUUGAGAACUGUUUGCUACAAUGUUUCUUUCGCUUUCAUGAAGCGUAAGGUUACAUAUAGUUUCAUUUGCCACACGGCAUUCUAAAUGAGUUUUACCAGAUCAUUUUGGCAUCUUUUCUUACCAUAGUCACCUUUUGAAGUUAUUUUAGUCCUUGAUUGGCUGAGGGAGAUAAUUCAUUUUAUGAACACAAUAUGUUUUGUUAUUAAUUGAAUGAAGCUAGUUGCAUAAUUCCUCAUGUAAAUCAACCUAGUCAUGAUCCAUUUGGAGUUUGAUUGAUUCUAUAAAAAUUGGUGGCCUCCUUUUGACUUGAUAGCGAUGCUUUCCUAUAAACCAUUGAAUCAUGAUUCAAGUUACAAAUGUGUAUUCUACCACUAUUAUUUCACACGUGAAGGGUUUGAUUGUAAGGAUGUUUAAUCGAUUUGUAUGUAUUUCUUACUGCAAUACUUUGGUUAGCAAGGCAGAUAUAUUUGUAUAUUGUAAUUAUUUUAUGCACUUGGUAACUUAGAAUUUAGUUAAACAUGAUUAGCUUGCCCUCUAAGAUCAUUUCAUAAUCGUAAAGGACAUAUACAGGCAGGAAGGUAUUGUUUAAUAUUUCAGUUGCUUCAUUGCUAUGGCUUGCUGUAGGUGCAUUUUUAAUAAAACAGAUGACCAUUGUUACUGCAUUUAAUUGGAAGUUUUCCUCUUCAUUAUUGAAUUGUUGACAACUAUGCAAAAAGAUUACUUGGACUUCCUCGUUUCUUUCAUUAAAAAUGUCAUGAAUGCCAAUUUUAAGUUAUUUUUUUUCAUCUGUUUACAGGGUUGAGUUUUGUUGCUAAAUUUUGUACUUACUGUCUACAUGGGGGAAUUCUUUUGCUUUGUGAUAAUUGAUGCAAAAGUUGUUGAUAUUUGGAAUUCAAACUAUGUAUUUUAAGCUAAUCAAUUAUCACUUUUUCAAAAUUUUGUUUUGAUGUACAAUUUAUAAGCUUGAGAAAUGUUUGCUAUAAUGUUUCUUUUGCUAUCAUGAAGCGUAAGGUUGUAUGUAGUUUCAUUUGCCAGUCAGCUUUCUAAGUGAGUUUUAGCAGGUCAUAUUGGCUACUUUUCUUAGUAAUGUCACAUUUUGAAGGUCUUUUAGUUUUUGGUUGGAUGAGGGAGCUAGUUCUUUGUAUGACCACAACAUGGUUGUUGUCAGUUGAAUGAAGUUAGUAUCAUAAUUCCUCAUGUAAAUCAACCUAGUCAUGAUCCAGCACUUUAUUGAUGUUGAGGAGCUGGAGUUUGAUUAGUCGUAUAAACUCAAUGACCUUUUCAUAGAGAAGCUCGUGUAUCAACCAUUAGAAAUGACUAUUCGAUUUACAAAUGUGUAUGCUAUCACUAUUAUUUCAUACAUGAAGGGUUUGAUAGUAAGGAUGUUUAGUCAGUUUGUAUAUGUUUUCUUACUUCCAAGAUCAUUUCAUAAUUGUAAAGGAUCUGUACAUCCAGGAAGGUAUUGUUUGAUAUUUCAGUUGCUUCAUUGCUAUAGCUUACUGUAGAUGUAUUUUUUACAUAAUGUAGAUGAUCAUCGUUACAGCAAUUAAAUGGAAGUUCUCUCCUUCAUUUUAAAUCGUUGACAAUUAUGCAAACAGAUACAUGAAUUUCCUUGUUUCUUUAAUUAAGUGAUGAAAGAUGCCAGUUUUAAGUUCUUUUCUUUUCUUUUAUCUAUUAACGGUACCUCGCUUUUAAAACCAUAUAAAAAUCUUCCAUCAAAAGAUUUAUCUCUGGAGUGUUUAGUGAUGGAUAUAUCUGGAUGGUAGUGUUAAAUGAAAUUUACUGUUCUCUUUUCCUAGUCCAGCCUUACUAGUGCCUGUUGUUAUAAUAAUUUCAAUACCCUUUGAUUGAUCCAAGGUGAUUUGUUUGUACCAGAUAUUAUUAACAUAUAUAACAAUUGUCUCUGGUUAUUUUCUGAUGAAUAUUUGAUAAACAUUUUCUUUGAGGUCUAACUAGAUUAACAGGUAAUGAAAAUCAUCCAUCCUAGAUUGAGAACAAUUUUUUAUAUUUUUCUUGAAACAUUUUUUGGUUAUUCAAUUUCAGUUUCUUUGUGCAAAUAGACAUGUAAAAGCUACUUAUUGGCCUUAUAAACUUAGUACAUAUUCCUUCCCAAGAAAAUUUUAUGUCAUUGCCUUGUAUAGAAUCACUUAUUAGGUUGUUAUUGGACCGACGUUAAUGCUGGCAGCAGUGAACUUUACGGUAAAUAUUGAAGGUUCUAUCGCAAGUUGGACUAAGCCAAAUGUUUCAAUCUAACUAUUGCUUAUAGUCCAUCUUUUUCAAGCGCUUGCCUUCUUCUUCUUAGCCCAUUCUUGGUAUUUGAGAAUUGAGAAUAGUGGAUGCUAAGUCUAAAUGGAAACAGUUUUUCUCAGAGUUUCCGAUCAAACAAUUCUUUUUGUUCCAUAACAGGUUUCUAGGUAAAACAGCAGUCCUCUUUGCAAAUACAUAUUUCACACUGCUGUUUUGGUGUAUUUUAUUUUAUUUCUAUGGUAUUGAUGUGAAGGUGAUGCAGCUCAUUUGUCGUAGCUCCGACUGGUUUGUCCUUUUCUUAGUAAAUGGGGUUGAUCAUCCUUUUAGUCUUGCUGCAAUUGCCGUAUAUAUUUGAGAAGAGAUAUUCGGUGUGCCCAAAGAUAAGUAUACUUGUCCACCCCAAUUCCAGAGAAACAUUAUUAUCAAUAUCCAUCUUAAUGGAAUGUAGCUUUUGCUUCUUCUAAUUCAAUCCCUUCAUCCGUAAGUCUCUUGUCCUUGUACACAUACCACCUAGCAAACACCAAGUAAAUUACCAAGUUCAAACAACUCAGGAUUGCCAAAAGCCAGUAGAAGUCAUAGAGCCUCCCUUGGUUCAGAUUGUCUGGCAGCCAUGGAUGCUUGGUUCCAGUCACCUUGUGAACUAUAGUAACCAGCACAGAACUAACGAAAAACCCUAAUGAAAGGGUACUUAAAAACAAACCAGUGCUCAUUGUUUUCAUCCCUUUCGGACAUUCCCUCAAGAAAAAAUCGAGCUACCCUAUGUAUGUAAAGGCCUCCCCAGCCCCGACCAGAAAAACUGGGGGAUCAGCCAGAACACGCUCAUUGGGAUUUGAGCUGAUGGAUCAUUUGUAAGUCCAUGUGAGCUUGCGGACCUCAAUCGCUUGAUUUCCGUCAGUGCAGCUACUAUCAUUGCUAUAAUGGAUAAUAUUAAACCCACCCCGAUCCUCUGCAAAGGAGUUAACCCUUGUGGGUUUUUAAGCACUUUCCUUGCAAUCGGAGCAAUGAUUUUGUCAUAAAUUGGGACAGUCAAAGGAAUGCUGCCGACGAAGAAAACUGUGAGUGACGCUGGUGGGAUCUAGAAUAUGCCAAUGUGACGGUCCAUGGUCAUAGCUUGAGACACGGAAAAGGUUGUCAUUUGGGCAUAGACGGUCCAAAAUAUGAUAGUGGUUGCCCGAAUGGGUAACAUCCUUACCACCAAUUUCACUUCUUCAACAUCUGUUAAGGUAGCUAAGUCACUUUCAUUCGGAUUUUGUGUUUGUAACUUUGUAAUAUAUAUAUAAGUCCUUCGGUUGACUUCAAAAUAAGGUUGAAGCCCUCUUUACAUGUACAUACAGAAUAUGGUAAAGAAACAAGAAUAAUUUCAAGCAAAGAAAGUUAAGUUCUUUGCUUUUGCUUCAAAAUUAUUAAGUAGUAUUGUGACUGGUACUUGUUUUUUUUUGAAGGAAUUAUCUGGGUUUGAUCGAUUUGGGGAACUAAUAUUUGAUGCCCAAUACUGGAAACCCAUCUUUGAAAUGUGAUCCCCCUAAGAAUUAAUCAAUCCUUGGUGUGAUGUUAAAUAUAAUAGGACCACACAAGCUUCUUUAAAAUUGUGAAUAUGUUUAUUAUAUGUACAGAAUCAAAGAAGUUUGGCUUGCAACGAGGUUAGAAACAUGUUUUUGUAAUAGAUGGGUAGCAUGCCAAGAAUGACCUUUCGUUCAUCCGAGAAGUGAAGAAAAAUGAAUAUUCUUUUGUUUGAGGAUCAACUAAAAAACUGUUCAACCUUUCAAUUAUUGUUUUAUAUAUAUACAUCCAUGCACCUUGCAGGAUUCUAUGUCAAUAGGCAGAAUAUAACAGCACAAAAAUCCAUAGCAGGGUCUCUUAAAUUUUAGGAUCGAAACUCAGGGAAAAAAAAUGCAUAUCAUAUAAAAAAUAUAGCACAAUAACAAUGGAUGCUGCUUGCAUUUGAAGCAAUCACGUGAAGAUAAUCCUUUGCUCUACAAUUUGUAAGCCAAUCUGUUCCCUUGUCGGCCAGUUGGACAAACAUGGGAUCCCAUCGAUACCGCUCCCUAGCUUGGGGCGCAAUUAAAAACAUUUUUUAAUUAAUCAAAGGACCCCAGAUGCUCAAACAUAUCACGUUACAGAUAAGACAAGCCCAGAAUCUCUUUUUCUUUUGUGGAACCCAUAAUAAUUUAGAGCUACAGUAUUGUUUGUAUUUUGGAUAAUUACAUCAUCAUCAUCAUAUUUAAGGUAUUUAAUGAAUUCCGUUAAGUUAAUAAUUCAUAUUAUAACUUGUGCAUUGUGUGUCGUUGUUCAUGCCAUAUUUUGUUAAAUGUGUAUUAUGUCUUUCUUACCAUAUUCCUGCAAUAUCGACGAGAUUAAGCAAUGAAGGGUUCAACAUAUAUUCAUCUUGAUAAAUAAAGCGAAUUCCUUUUGAUUGUGAAGUGGAUAACCAUGAAGCAUGAAGGAUAAACAUGACAUGUGCCUAGUUUCAGGGUAGUAUGUCAGUUUCGACAUCCAUAUCGUGAGGAAAUGGACAAGUUAUUGACUGAGAUGCUAUUUCCCCACAAUGUUCGUAUCAGAGAUGUAAAUAAAAAACCUCAUCGGUUUGAUGUCACAGUCGAAUUCAAUAAUAGCAUUAUGUGGCUUGAAUUAUAUAGCUACAAGUGGUUGAUAUAAAAUUUAAGCAACCAAAGAAAUAUACCUGUUAUUAAAGCCUUUUACAACACUAGUUGAAAUGUCGAACUAUACACAAUACCAAGCAACGAAACAAAAAUUAGCCAAUAAUAAAUAAAAGGUUAUCCUAAUGUGUUUUUAUAAUUAUGACCCAUAUAUCAAAGGCAAUUAAAGAAUGUCCACAAGUGUCAAAAAAGAUAUGGUUACUAUUAAUAGAGCGUUCAGCAAGGUGAACAGACUUAACUGGGGAUGGUGAAGGUGUAAAGUGAUGAUUUGAAUACAAGAUUUCGUGAGGAUCGAUCGGGAGACAGUCUGGUUUGGUGGCUCGUGAUCUCUUUUUCUAUUCCUUACUGAAUAAUAUUACCUCUAACUCAUACAUUAAAGUCUCAAUCCCCAUGUUUUUUAAUCAUUUCAUCAUUAAACACCCCUAAAUUUCACAAUCCAGAUUAAACCAAAUAUCUUAUAAAAUGAAAAAAAGAGAGGAAAUUCAAUCAUUUACACUUUGAUUGCCUUAAACACCCCCAAAUGGUUGAUGAUUAUCUAUCAGGUACUGGUCCGCCACCUAACCUUAUAUUGCCGACUUUUAAGAUUGCACGUGUUCCUAAUUAACUAUACUAGUUUGAAUCUCGAUUGUAUUCUAUUAUUUAGAUUAGUGGGAAUCAACAUAAAAAUUUUGUGGUCCAAUUUCUUGUAUCCUUGUUUUAUUAGCCUAGAUCAAGAUUUCACUUUUGAUUCAAUACAAAAUUUUAGAAGGUAAUGAAAUUCAUCAACUUCUCUUAACUUUACGUAUUAAGAUUAGUCAAGUUAACGUGUUCUUCAUAUUACUUUUUAUGAAAAUAUUUGUAUGAAGCAGCAAAAAUAACAUGUUUAGCAUGUCUUAAUUAUUUGUCCUCUAUUGUUCGUGUUUAGAAAUGAAAUAAAACUAAAGAUUGGUUUUCAAAAAGAAUACUAAUCAGAACUGCUUGCUGUGAGGCAACUUUUGCUUAUUCUUCUUGUUAUUCAGUCCCUCAGUUGUAUCAUUAAUUUCGAAAAGCAGCGAUGAAUCAGAUGGCAACUCCAAAUGCUCUUCUUCCACGCAGCUACAAACACUGCGACAAUUUGGGUUAAUGGGCUCCCAACCAAUUUCUUGAAACGGUAGCGCUUGGUACCCGAUAGAAACACCACCAACCCUAUCACGAUUGCACAAGCACAAAUAUCGUAACCCCAUUCACGUCCUAGAUUGUCUUGGAUGUACACCAGUACGGUGACUGAACCAAGUGAGCUCUGACUUGAAAUUUCUUAAGUAUCAAAGGGGUACACGGCCUCGGCACACGCCCAUGUGGCUAGGACGUGUGGUAAACUGAUUUUUCACCAUUUUUAAGCCAUUUUCACACGAUUUUAACACAUGACCGUGCUUAAAACCCGUGUCCUUCACACUACCAAAACACACGGCCAUGUCUUUUGCCUGUGUACUAACCUGACUUCAUAUUUAAGGAUGCAGGGGUCACACGGUCUAUCAACAUACCCGUGUGCAAGUCGUGUGUCUCACACGGUCUGAUCACACGCUCGUGUGACAAGCCGUGUGGACUCAAAAUGAACCUUAUAGUUCAAGUUUACCAACCCUACAAACCUUGAAUAAUAAGCAAUUUAAAUACAAUCUUCAACCAGUCCAAAACAUGAUUAAACAUAUCUAAUACACAUUAAAACCAUCAAAACAACAAUUAUUAUAUGUAUUUUAUUAACCAUUCAACAAAGAAACUUCAAAAUUUGUAUUUAAAUUCCAUUUAAAUCAAUUUAAAAUGGACUAUAUUAUAACACAUACAUUACAUUUGUUAACUAUCCAUUAACAUUCUUUACUAACAUUACUUAUAUUCAAAAUAACAUCAAAGAUAACCUAGGUACAUGCCAUUCCUCAAGAUAAGAUACAUCACCAAGUAUUUGAGUUCGGGAGUUGGCUUGGAUGCUGAGAUGUUAUUUACUUUGUACCUAACCUGCACAAGGAAACAAACCGUGCGCUGAGUAUACAUUCAGUGGUAUUUUUAUAAACCAGUACUUAAUAUGUAAUUUAAACAUAACUGUAAAUUCUAACAAUAAGAACUUCGUAAAAUUUUCAUUCAACUAUCCUUAUAUCAUUGUAACAUGUAUCAAUAAAAUCAUAUUCAGUAAGAAAAUAUAGUUUCAAUCAGCAUCUUUCAAUAUUCAGUACAGUAGUUUACCCCUAUUAACAUAACUCGGAUCUGAACGGAUAUACGGAUCCAACCCACACACCGAGAUAUUAUAUAGUGUUUCAUCGGUCGAAGCCGGAAUACACCGUAACAGUAACAAUAACAAUAAUAGUAAUAGUAACAGUAACGGUACACAGAGUACCUCAUCGGAACAAGUCUGAAACAGUAACAGUAACAGUAACAGUAAGGCGACACUUAUAGUGUCUUAUCGACACAAAGUUGAAAUAUCCUGAACACUUCCAAUCCUAUGGCAUGCCAAUUAUACCCGACUAGCCCGACACUGUUAAUAGGGUUUCCAUUUCACUUUCAAUUUUUUUUAUAUAACAGUUAUUGCAUUUCAAAAAUAACAAUACUUACCUUUUAUAUAUUUGCUAUACAUAAUAAAGUAAUACAUACAACACUUAAUUUAAAAGCUUAGUUUAUAGAAAUACAAACCGUUGUUCUCGAGUUUAUUCGUUAUAUUCGUUCACUUUCUUUUUUCCCUUCUUCGAUGACGUUUUCGGUGCUACGUUAGCUACCGAAAAAUUAACAUUUAAAAUCAUCAAUACAUAUCAUUUAAUAACACACUCUUCUAUUUUCCAUGUAACUUUUACAUAAAUUUCAUUUUAGUCCUUCCACCAUAACCAUUAUUUCUCUUCAACUAAAUCUCAUAUUUUCAUUUAAUACCUAUUUUAAACAAGUUUCAACUCUUAAUAUUCAAUAUAAAACAUCAAUUCUACAAUUUAAACAAUUUAGUCCCUACUAUAACAAAACUUAUAUCUCUCUUUACAAUUCAAUCAUUCUCUCACUUCUAACUUGAAUUUCUAUCACUUUAUCUCAUAAUUCAUUCAAUUGUUCAACUUGAUCAACAUCUAAAAAUUCACUAACUUUCUAAAUUUCAACAUAAUUCAAGUAAGACUUUAUUCCAAGAUUCCAAAAACAUCAAAAUUACAAAAAAAGAGACUAAAUUGACUCACCAAUUAAGCUUCAAACCUCAAAACCCUAUUUUUCCUUACUUUUUCUUUCCUUUCUGUUUCCUUUUCAUUCUCUGUUCUUUCUUUUUCUAUUUUAUUUCUUUUAUGCUUUAUUACAUUAUUAAAUUGUUAUAAUAAUAUAUUAUAUAUAUUAAAUAUCUCAUACUUAAAAUAUAAGUAAAUACAUAUGUAAUUUACAUUUGUAUAAAUACAAUUAUUACAAAUGAAUUAAUUUAUGCCACACAUUUGUCCCCUUUUUAGUUUAUUUACUAAUUUAGUCCAUUCACUUUUCUUUAUUCUAUAAUUAAACUUUUACCCUAUAUUCAAUCUAGUCUUUUCACUAAAUUAGCCUUAAUUCAAGCUAAUUCACUUAGCCAAAAAUCUAAUUAAUCACACUACUUACUUCGUAAAUAUUUCUAAUAAAUAUUUACGAAUUCAUCUUAUAAAAAUGGUAACCCGAAAAUAUACUUUUUCGAUACUCAUAAACUUUGGGUCGUUACACCUUAGGCUUGGGAUUAUGGUUAAGAUGGUCAAUAUGGUGACGUCCUGCUCGAUAAAGUAAUUAAAGAUUAAUGAACUUUUAGCUUUUCAUUUAAGGUGGGAAGUUAAACACGAAAGUAGCAGGUUAAAGAAAAUGAGAAAAUAAUUAAUCUUCAGGUCAGGGGAAAUGAAUCUUACAAUUGCUUGAACGGUGGCGAAGAUUGCGAUGGUGAGAUAUCUGUGAAUAGGAGAGAAUUCAUGGUUAACUGAGAGUGGUGCAUGUGAAAGUAGAAAAGGUGGCUGUGAGUGUUAGGGGUAGAGAAGAGGCCAAACCUGCCAAGAAAAGUGUCUGCGAUGAAACCACCCAGCAGACACAGCAUGAAAGAGGUGCCGAGGAAGUUGGUCACUAUGUUGGUUGCGGUAGCAUUCCCAAAAUGCAUGGUCUCAGUUAAAUACGUCACUAGAUUAAUAGCGAUACCUAACGUUGUUAGCCUCUCACAUGCCUCGCCACCUGACAGAGAUAUACGCAGGCAAAAGAAAACCCCAUCCGCUUAGCUAACUCAAAACCAAACGCCUACGAGAAUUUAAAAAGAAAAAAGUAAAAGCAAAAACUCAAGCAUUCAAAUGGAGGAGGUGCGGGAUGAAAGACUUAAAAUCAUAGCUGUAUUGGUUCAGCCAUCGGACUUGGACCACUCGGUCUGCUUGCCUUGUAGCCCCAGGCAUUAGAGAGGAUUUUCCCUUGUGUUACAGGGAGGGACAUUGUUCGAUACAAGGUGAGACAAGGGUUACAGAAAGCUAGCUAACUUUGAAUUUGAUAGAAAGGAGUUGUAAUGGGAGCAAUGGUUGGUGAGGGGUUAUUUAUAGAAAGGGGAAUGAAGGAUGCUUGGGUGGUAGCACAGUCAUGUUGAGGCCAACGUGUGAGAUAAAAGGUCUAAUUUGAAGGAAAUGACACUUUUGGCCUAGAUUGAUUGGCUAUGCUAUUAUUUAACUAAUUGUUGGACACAAAUGAUUGAUACAUGUACUCCAAAGUUGAAAUUUUUGAAACGUGGUUAGGAAUGAAAGGUCGAUUCCGGAAAAAAAUUAAUCCUUUAAUUUUAUAAUGUAAAAUUAAAUAUUUGAACCCAUCGGAUUUGGGCCUGAAAAUAAUUUAUAAAACCUUUUUAUUUUCGAAUAAAGUGAAAUUAAUGAAUUUAUAAAAUAUAGAAAAUAUGCCUCCUGAUAAAAAAAAUAUAAGUGUGACAGGCGUCUUUUUCUGUUUUCGUAUUUAAGAGGUCUUCAUUCAUUGUUUAUGUUCUCAUGGUCAAAUGAAAUUUAUUUAUUUUUAUAUAAGAUUUCAAGAAAAUAUAAAUAUAAUUACUUAACAUAUUAUUAAAAAAUGAUAAACCCAUAACAAUUUUGAUGACGAUUUAAAAUUAAAAAAAAAACACACACACAAAUGAUCAUGCGCUAUUUAUGUGAAUAAAUUAAUUCUGUACUUUCCCCAAUCAAAAUUAAUUUAACCAUUUCAUACAAUUAAUUUUAAAUAUAUAUUAAAUUGAUUGGAACAACGAUAUUUAUAUUUCAAUUUUUCGUUAUUUUCUACAGUCAAAUAUGUUGCUCCUUUAUAAUUUCAAUCUUGUAGGGUAAAGAUAGUUUAAGUUUAUCCCAUAAAAGAGACUAAAUUACCUAAAAAGACCUUUUUUCAUGUAUAUUUACGGAAAUGUGCCAAUUACAUCAUUAUUUACACUAAAGGGCCGAUUUUUACAAAAUACGCUUACGUGGCAGUGUUUUAGGGGGAAAAAGCCAGAAAAUCUCUCCAUUGAGGAAGCGUUUUUUUUUUGCUUUUUUAAAUUUCAACGGGAAAUUUUUUUUUACCGUUGGGGGGGUUCCAACAGUAAAAAAAGAGAGUAUAAACCUCUCGACUCUUAUUAUUUCACACAUAAAUUCUUAACAAUUUAGCAAAAAAUCUUCACAAUUUCUCUUUAAAGCUCUCAAAUUUCUCAUUAAAUUUAGAAAAAACUCUUUAUAAUUAGUUAUUUACUUUAAUUUUUUUUUCUAAAUUAGUUUUUUUUUUAUAAUUUCAAAAAUAUCUGAUCGUGUUAGCAAUGGUUGGGGAAUUAAUUCGUCUCGAUUAUAAACAUAUCUCUGUCGAACAAAUGAAAAUUGUAACAGUUUGUUUUAAAUUUUGAAUUUUUUUAAUUUUUUUUUCAUUUACGUAAUUUUAAUUAAUUUUAAAUUUUAAAUAUUAUUUAAUAUUUUUUUCAUUUACGUAAUUUUAAUUAAUUUGUAAUUUAUAAUUUUUUAUAACAGUCUGUAGAUCGGGUGUUACAAUACUAUAUUCAUAACAUGUUUGAUCUGCCAUCACCGUUGAUAGAAAAUUACUUGAGAGAAGCAAGUUUUUGGCACGCGGCCACUAUAGGCCGGGGGUGCAAGUUGAACUCGAAACUCAUCAGUGCUUUAAUAGAGACGUGGAGACCGGGGACGCACAUAUUCUAUCUUCUAUGAGGAGAGUGUACUAUCACUUUGGAAGACGUCCAGUUACAAUUAGGAUUGCCGGUGGAUGGGGCUGCACUCACCAUGUCCUUUCAAUCUGCUGAUUGGGGAGCCAUAUGCAACAAUCUUUUGGGUGCGAUUUCGGAUAAUAUUUACAGAGGUCAAAUCGAGAUUAGCUGGUUAUAAGACAAAUUUCUAGGGCCGGAGAAUGAUUCGACUGAACUAGAAAGAAUACGAUAUGCUCGGUCAUACAUCCUUGAGAUGAUUGGAGGUUAUUUGAUGCCAGACUUGUCACAAAACCUCGUACAUCUGAGGUGGCUGCUGAAACUCAUUGAUUUUAAAGCAACUGGCGAACUUAGUUGGGGGUUUGUCGUGUUGGUAAUAUUGUACCAGGGAGAUUUGUGGGGCGACGCCACUAAAUAAAGCCAAAAUUGGAGGUUUCCUAUCACUACUAAAAUCAUGGGCUCGGUUUUGCUUUUCAUUUUUAUGUCCUUGAGUGAACCACUCAUAUACAUUCUCACUCAUAACAAGGUAAAAUUUUUAUUUGAUUUUAUAAUUAUUCCAUAUAUUUAAAAUAAAAUUAUAUGCUGAAAAUUUAUUUAAUUAGGUGGAACCAUCCGGCAAGUUAUGUUGGAAUACCUACUGCUUUUAAAGAUAUACGACUUCUAUUAGACCAACGGUCGGAAGCGCAAGUAAGUAUUAAAAAAUAUAUAAAAAAUAGUCGUUUCAUAUUUAAUAUUUAGGAUUUAGUAUUAUGUAUAUAACUAAUAUUUUUAUCCUGAUUAUAUAGUUUCAAUGGACACCAUACGAGGAUCCGGUAAUCCGGACAGUAAUUUUGAAAGAAUUCUUUCAAAAUCCGAACAUUUGGCAUGUUAAGGUCUCAUUGGUAAACUAUUCUAUUGUCGAGAUACACCAGAGAAAGCUGAGGAACCUGAGGUGCUCGAUAAGUAGCACAAAAUCUAAUUACGACAUAUCUCAUUUAUUGAUUUUUUUAAAUAUAUUACUUUUUAAAAAAUAUAUAUUUGUAUAAUUGUUUCUAUAUUGUUUCAUUUAAUAAAAAAUAGUUACUUUUUAUAUUUUAAUAGUAAAUUAAUUUUAUAAUUUUAAUAAAAUAUAAGUUCUUUUGAAUAAGGCGAAAUAAAAAUGAUGCAACAUCGUUUUAUUACAGCAAUUAUCAACUAUUUCGGUUUGAAAAUGAUCAAAUUGUAUGACCUGGGUUCCUACACCAUCCACACAACUUCUGUUGGUUCGUUUUUCCUGGAUAUCCAUAUUAUUAUGUAUUCUACUCGAGUAAGGUUUACCUUUUGGUUUGCGACGUAAUUCUCUAUCCGGUAACAGCUUAAACGGAGUAAGUGAUAUAGAUGACCACUUACGUUCAUCUGGGACCGAUGGGAAUACGUGUCUCCACACAUUGUACAUGUUUUCUACUUUGUACACUUCGUCGGCAUAUCUCAUGGGAUCCAAACGGAGAUUCUAACAAACUGCAAUUGCAUAAGCGUAUGGAUCACGAAGUGCGUCAAACGUCCCACAGUCGCAAGUCUUAUUUAUUAGGUGUACACGACAUUCCUCGUCGGUAAUACAUUGAGUUAGUCUGUCAAACUCCAUUUCACGAAAUCAUAGGUUGUCACAAUCGUGACACAUAGUGUGCAUCCUAUUGGCUCGCGCCUUCGUCUUUUUAAUUUCUUACAAUACCUUCCAUAACCAUAUAUGGCCUCCCUGCAUUUGGCCUUUAUAACUCACUACUCGUUUUGGAAAUAGUGUCGUCAAAAGAAAAUAUGUCUCUCGCACAACUGAGGUUAUCGGCAAAUGACGCGUUCCUUUUAGAACAGAAUUUAUGCAUUCAGCCAGGUUUGCGGUCAUAGCCAAAUUUUUCAAUGGUGUCGCAAACAGUGAUUCGAGAUCACUAAAUCCGAUGAGUAAGUUUAGAAAUUUUAACAAAUAAUAAUUAUAGGCCAAGCGCGAACUUAAAAGAAUUAUUUUUAAUUAGUGAAUUUUGCGAUUUUAAAAUAAUUAAUCAGGUAAAUUGGGUUGAAAACUAGGUAUCGAGACCUUGGAUUCAUAAACCAAGCCAUAAAUAUUUUUAUAAAUAUUUAUGGAGUGUUAUUAAGUUAGUAUUAAAGUUUCGUUAGAAAAUUUUAACGUUUGGUUAGUCAAUUCAUUAAAAAGGACUAAAUUGAAAAUAGUGUGAAAUUUAUUAAAUUGUGAUUAAACAGUUUAAGUGAUUAAAAGGAGGGAUUUAAAAGGAAAUUGGACCCAAAUUGUAUGGGCUGGACGGUUGGGCAACAAAAUCAGCAAAAAAGACAAGGAGAAACAAGGGCAAAAUGGGAAAUUUUACAAAUUAAACAUAUAAAACAAGACAAAUUUGAAAAAUCUAGAGAUAUCGUCAUUUUUCUUCAGCAAAAACGCCAUGGGAAGUCUGAAAGCUGCUGGUUUUUCAUACUUUGACAUCUGUGAGUUCAAUUCUUGCCCUUUUAUUUGAGAUUUUUAUGUUUUUGUGACUUUUACAAUUAUGUCCAAGUGUUUAAUUCAUUAGUUUUUGAUUUUAUGAACAAAAUUAAAAGCUAUCAAUGAUAAGUGUUGGCUGUUUAUGAUGAAAUAAAAUGAAUUUGAGGCUUUUAUUUUGUUGUUUGAUAAUUUUAUCAAGUAAUUUCAAUAGAAAUUGAUUUUAUGACCUAAUUUGUGAAAAAGUUGUGAAUUAAGGUUUAGUGUUAAAAUUAUGAUUUUCAAAGGUUGUGUAAUAGUUUAGAAUGAUGGAAUAAAAUGUUAAUUGAGAAAAAUUAGCUUAAUAGAUGGGCUAAUUGAGCAAGGACUGAAUUGUAUGACCUGUGAAAUUUAGAGGAAAAAUGGUAAUAAACAUCUUGAACUAAAACAGCUUUGGACAGCAGCAGUAGGUUAACUUUGAAAAAUCACCAUAAAUUUUAAAAAUCGAAUUAGAGGAUGAAUAAUAUAUGAAAUUAAAGCUUAUUGAGUCUAGUUUCUCAUAGAAGAAACAGUGUAAGCAAUUGGAUUGUAAAUUAUGAGAUAUAAUGAAUUUUGUGAGACAAGGUUAGAAUGAAUUUGGGUUCCUCCGUUUUGACUUUGAAAAAUCACAAAAAAUUGGAGAAAAUUAAUUAGAGGAUAAAAUUUAUAUGCUUGGAAUCCUUAAUGAGUCUAUUUUCAAUAGAAAUCAACAACAACAUUAUCCGAGUUCUGUACUAUGAUAUAAUUAAUUUUUAGUGAAGAGAGGUCAGAACUGUUGGAUAGUGAAAUAGGGGAAACUUAAAUGAAUAAAUUGUACUAGUUGGAUAAACCAAAAAUUUUGAAAAUUUUAUGGUGGAAUGAUAUGUGAGUCUAGUUUCAGGAAAAAUUUACGGAUCUUAAUUUGGAGCUCUGUAGCUCGAAUUAUAAAUAAUUGAGUGACUAUGACUCGUGUGAACAGUUUGAUGUGAGCAUUAAUAAGUAAAUUGUGAAAUCGUACUUACAAGAAUGUUAUAUACAUUAAGGAUGUGGAAUGGAGAGGAGGAGGAGGAAAAUAAAUGAUAUAUGUUUAUAAGAAAACAGUAUGAGAACGAUACAUAUCAUGACAUGUAUAUAUAUGACUAGUUUCAAUAUGAUGCUUGUUGGGUAUGAAGUUGGAUUGAAAUGUCUAAGGCAAGUAUUUUAUUCUGCGCAUCUGAAAUGUGGUAUUUUAUAAAGAUAUGAUCUAGCUUUAAAUAUGAAUGCUUGAUGAUUAAGCGAAAAAUUUUAUGAGAAAUCAGUUGAGUUCUGACUUGAUUUUAAUGUUCAUUUUGGGCUUCAAGGGCCCAAAUAAAGGUUGUUAUAUAUAUGAUCUCAGAAAGUGAAUAGUAAUGUUUCGAUUUAUCUGUAAAUGUUCUGUAUGUACUAGUAACACUCUGUAACCCUGUUUCAGCGACGGAUACGGGUUAGGGGUGUUACAGUGUAUGCUUGUGUUAACUGUUUGAAGGGUAUGUUGUAGAGGUAAUCUGCGCCUUGAUCGUUAACUGAACGCAAAAUCCUCAACAUCUCAUGGAAACGGUCCUUAUUGAUCUCAUACCCUGCCAAUAUAAGUUGAUAGCGAAAAUUACAUACCAAUAUUUCAUUUAGAAAAAAUUUAAUUUUACAACCAAAAGUAGAUUAAUAGAGAUUAAAUACCCAUGUUAGUCAGUUUCUUUCGUUCAGUCGUAGACCGAUUUGCCUGUAGUAGUUAGACGCAACGUGCCUUAGACAAUACCGAUGGUGUAUGCGAUCCCAUAGGCUUCCAUGUUGUUCAAUUGCAGUUCGUAUUCUAGUGUCCCGAUCCGAUAUAACACAGAUAUCAGUUAAUGGCAUACAUGCCACCUUAACCUAGAAAGAAAGAAAUCUCAGUCAUUAGCUGACUCCUCCGGUGUUAUUGCAAAUGCAAUUGGAAGGAUUCUCCCACCGUCAUCCUGUGCUAGAGCUAGCAUUAGCCGAUGGGUAUAUCUACCAUACAUAAAUGUACCGUCAAUUUGUACCAAUGAAUUGCAGUACACAAAUGCGUCUCGACAUAGCUUAAAGCUCCAGAACAGACGUUUAAACACUUGGCAUCUAUGGAGCAAUCGGUCGUUAUAGUACGCAUGGACCGAUUCAAGGUCUGAUAUGCAACUUGGGACGUACCUCUCCAGCAUCUAACACUACUAGCAAACUUCAUUAUAUGAAGCGUCCCACCCACUAUGCAUCUAUUCCAACGCCUUUUACUUAGCUAUCCAAGCCUUGCGGUAAGAGGGCGUGUACCUCAUUCGGCUAUGAAUACUGGCAAUUAUGCAUGACAAAGAAGUCCUUGGAUCCGCCUUCAAAAUCGGUAAUAUUAAGCUAGCUAUCACGCUUAAAUCCAUCUUGGGAUGAUCUUGUUAAACACCUGUCAACGAAGUACGUUAAAUAAUGCAACAUUAAUUAAUAGCAGUAUUAUUCAAAACCCUAAACACGCAGUGAUACUGUAUCAACAACACAAGUAUGUGGACCUUUGUACUUUUUUAUCUCCCAGAAACCUGUCUUUUGGUUAACGGUUCAAAUUUCAUUUGCUAUGAACACCAUCCAAUUCCCAUGGCCAUACCAGCUGCUGGGAAAUUUUUAAUAAAUAAAAAUGAAAAAGAAAGCUUCCUUCCUUUAUACGAAUUGAAGGUCAAAAUCUAUUUCUACUUUUUCCCUAGCCACCUAGCUAGUGCCCAUGGGUUCACUGUAUUUCUUACAUGCAUGAUAAGGACUCAUGUCUGCUUUUAUACGAAAAGAGUGGUUAUCAGAGUCGUUAUCCCAAUCUCCCAAUACCCUGGAGUUUCUCGCCAAUGCAUCAUUACACUUUUCCAUAUUUCAUUACUAUGCUUGAAAAUAUAUGAAACACUACAAUUAUCAAGAAAUAUGUAAAUCAUGUAUAGUUCAUGUUACUCGGUACUUUUUAAGUCUUUUUACAUAUGCAAAUAUUCAUUAUUUAGGUAAAACAAAGAUAUUUAGGCACAUCAUAUAUAACUUGUUGUUGGCCAGGAGAUACGAUAACAUGGAUAACCCUUUUUUUUUCCUCGACUUUAUUUUACAUAUGCACAUAUUCAUAAUUUAGCUACACAUCACUAUACUUCCUAACUAUGGAUUCCUCAACUCAUACAGCAUAGGAAUAAUAACAACGUAAGAAAUGCACUAACAGUGUGCCAAUAUUAAUGCGAAAAUAGCACAAGCUAAAAAUGGUAGGUUCCGUUGGAAAGGAAACUGACGACCCAGGCCAGCAACGAGUAAAUUAAGAACAUCUCCACAAAAGGAGCUUUUAGUUGAAAUAUGUGUCCAAUUGUUUUUAAUUGCUUAAUGGCUAAUGCUAUCCUUAAUCUAAUGCUGACUAAGGUGAUAUCUAUAAAAAUACACAUAUAAUUAGUAUAUUAUAGUUAUUUAUUAAAUUCAACUAAAAAUAAUAGAUUAAAUAAGAAUAAAAUUCUUCAAUUGAUAAUUAUAUAAUCUUUUAAAGUGUUGCUUAUGAACACCCUUAAAUCAAACUUUUAUUUUGUUUUAUGGGAAUUAAUCACAUUUGGUUUAAUUGAAAGUUGGAAGGCGACUUAUAAUUAUAUCUUGCCACGAAGAGUUACUGACAAGAACUGCCCAUCUGAGAAGUACAGUUGGAACCAAACUGAUAGAGCCAGACCAUUCAACUAAUUCAAAAUAAAAACCAAUAAAAAAAAUUAAAUUUAGGAAAAGUUUCAAAUGAAACAAAACUUAAGCAUCAUUUUAUGACCACUAAUUUUGAAAACCUAAACUCUUAUCAUAUAUGACGAUAAAGCCAAAACCUAAAAAAUUUUAAAAUUUUACUGUAAAAAAAAAACAAAAAUAUUGAAUUUAAUGCUUUGGACCAGGGUGGGCUUGUAAAUCAAUAAGAAUUUUUUUAAAAAUCGGAUGAGUGAUUGAACCGAUUAAGUCAUCAGUUCAUUGGUUCAAUUAAUUAAAUCAAUUCAAUUAAAAAUAAAUAAUGUAACUUUUGGCUCUUAAAUUUGACAACUAGGUUCAGUUGAUACUUGUAUUUUUUUGUUGUUGUUUACUUUAGCACUUGAACUUGACAAUUACGUUUAUUUUGAUCCAUGAACUUAAAAAAUCUAAUACUUUAAUGAUACGACACUCUGAGUUUAAUUUAAAAAAAAUUAGAUGAUGCAGUAUAAUCUGAGAGUGUUAUAUUCAGUAUUUUAAUAAUUUUACUGAAUAUGAAACUCUGGGAUUCUACCACAUCAUCAUCUAAAUUUUUUUUAAAUUUUCAAACUCAGUGUGUCAUAUUAUCAAAGUUUUAGAUUUUCCAAGUUUAGGGAUCAAAAUGGACUUAAUUUUCAAGUUCAAGAGCUAAAAUGAACCAAAAAAAGAGUAGACGUAUCAAAGUGAACCUAGUUGUCAACUUCAGGGGCCAACGUGGACAUACUUGCUAAGUUCAAUGGCUAAAAGUUAUAUUAUCCCCAUUGUUUAUUAACACAAUGGGCUUAAAUGGAUAACAAAUUUUAAGUACAAGGUUCAAAAUGGAUAAAAAAAAAAGUUCAAAAGCUAAUGUGCACCUACUUCCCAUUAAAAUAAUUAUUAAAAAUAAUUAAAUAAUAAAUUAAAAAAUCCGGCUCAACCGCCCGAUUCAAGCAAUUUUUUUUAUUCAACCGUUUUAUACCGAUUCUAGAAUCAAUCGAUUCAAAACUCCUCUUCAAACUGAUACUUUGACCAAUUCUCAAAUUAACUAAUUCGACCAACCAAUCUAAUAUGGUUUAAAUAACCCUACAAAAUAUAUUUUAAAAAAUUAAUUCAAGCGUUUUUUCUAAAUUUUUAUUUAUUUAUUCUAUACUGAAUAUUUUACAAGUUGAAAACAAUUAUUGAUAAUUUAUCAUAUUACAGUAAUUGAAGAAUGAAAUUAGUUAAUUUCAAUUCAACUCAUCGGAUUUUAAUAAUAUUGAAAAAAAAUGAUGCUGAUAAGAAGAGUCAAUGUUAGGAAAUGAAGCUAUAAGAAGAAGAGUAUUGCUUAUAGGUUGUUACUAGAAGGACCUUGUUAUAAUUUCAUUUAUUGAAUUGAUAUUACUCUCACAUUAAAUUAAAUGACAGAAUAUCUUUAUGAACCUGUAUUUUUAUUUUUUAAUAUUUAAGAGUGUUUUUUGGAAUCUUGAAAGGGCAUAUUUGUAGUUGUUGGUAAUGAAAGAACCUACCCCUCCCUACCAUUGGAACACGUGACACGUCUGAUUCCAAAGAUUCUACGUGGGCUCUUAUGGGGUGGAUUCUCCACCACUCAUUGAGCCCUAGGGUUGACUAUCCAUUAUUUUUUAAACCCCCAUCGACCAAAAAAUUUUUAGUCAAUAUUAAAGACUUCAUUGGUCGGUUUCACGGUGGCGGCCUUUGCCAAAUAGGUGCUCUUUUUUUUUUUAAUUAUCACCCUUGUAUACAUAUAUUUUACUUCAAUGGUAAAAUGUGUAUUUACUAGUGGAUAAUUAAAACCAACAUGAAAGAAUUUUUAAAAAUAUUGAUAAAACCUUCUCUUCAUGGAUUAUAAACUAUUUUAUAAUGUUAUUUUUAUCAAGAAAAGUCAACCAAAAUAUAAUCAUGAACCAUUAAGGUGAUUAAUGCAGCCAUAUAUUUCAGAAAUUAAAGGCAUAUAUAUCCACCGAUAACUACAAAUGACAUUCAAUAGCUUUAUAGUUUAUACCAUAUAAUUAAUUUCAUUCGUUAAUUCAUAUUAAUUUUUAUAAGCAAAUGAAUAGCUUCACGUUGUCAACCCAAGAAAGGAAAGAAAAGGUCACAAAUGGAUAACAAUUAUGGUACAAUGUAUUAAAUGUUUGUAUUAUUAAGGAUGGUGUGUAGAUUAGAAUAAAGAAUACAUUUCAUGUAUUCCUUGGAGUUCUCCAAGAGCCAAUGCAUAUACUAUAGCAGACAAGAUAUGAACAAGUGGCUAAGUCAUAGGCUGUUUAUUAACUUCAAAAAUGGAAUAUACUGAUUUCUCAUUAAAACAAUCCUAUAAUAGAUGAGAGAGAAUCAAUUAAUCCAGUUGUAACAUUAUGAUUGGCUGCUGCACCACUUUUUUUAAUUAUCAUAGAAGAAAAAUAAAUAGGGAGGGUCCCCCCUAAGUUUCCUAUUGAAAACAUGCUAGUGGUUUUACCUUAAAAAAAAGGCCAUAUAAAUUACCCAAAACAUGUUAAGCAUGAGAUUAAAACAUGUUAUUUUUAUAGUUUAUUAAAAUCAUAUAAAAAUCUUUCAUCAAAAGAUUUAUCUCUGUAGUGUUUAGUGAUGGAUAUAUCUGGAUGGUAGUGUUGAAUGAAAUUUACUGUUCUUUUUUCCUAGUCCAGCCUUACUAGUGCCUGUGGUUAUAAUAAUUUCAAUCCCCUUCGAUUGAUCCAAGGUGAUUUGUUUACUUUCUAAGUUUCAGAAAGAUAUUUAACAUCACACCAAUGAUUGAUUAAUUCUCAGGGAGAUCACAUUUCAAAGAUGGAUUUCAAGUAUUGGGUAUCAAAUAUUAGUUCCCCAAAUCUAUCAAACAACGUGCUACUCGCAGAUUCCUUCAAAAAAAAAAGUGCCAGUCACAGUACUACUUAAUAAUUUUGAAGCAAAAGCAAAGAAUUUAACUUUCUUCGCUUGAAAUUAUUCUUGUUUCUUUACCAUAUUCAAUAUGUACAUGUAAAGAGGGCUUCAACCUUAUUUUGAAGUCAACCGAAGGACUUGUAUACAAAGUUACAGACACAAAAUCUUAAUGAAAGUGACUUGUUCACUCCAACUCCAGAGAAACAUUAUUAUCAAUAUCCAUAUUAAUGGAAGGUAGCUUCUGCUUCUUCUAAUUCAAUCCCUUCAUCCGCAAGUCUCUUGUCCUUGUACACAUACCACCUAGCAAACACCAAGUAAAUUACCAAGUUCAAACAACUCAAGAUUGCCAAAAGCCAGUAGAAGUCAUAGAGCCUCCCUUGGUUCAGAUUGUCUGGUAGCCAUGGAUGCUUGGUUCCAGUCACUUUGUGAACUAUAGUAACUAGCACAGAACUAACGAAAAACCCUAAUGAAAGAGUACUCAAAAACAAACCUGUGCUCAUUGUUUUCAUCCCUUUUGGACAUUCCCUCAAGAAAAAAUCGAGCUGCCCUAUGUAUGUAAAGGCCUCCCCAGCCCCCACUAGCAAAAACUGGGGGAUCAGCCAGAACACGCUCAUUGGGAUUUGAGCUGAUGGAUCAUUUGUAAGUCCAUGCGAGCUUGCGGACCUCAAUCGCUUGAUUUCCGUUAGUGCAGCAGCUAUCAUUGCUAUAAUGGAUAAUACUAAACCCACCCCGAUCCUUUGCAAAGGAGUUAACCCUUGUGGGUUUUUAAGCACUUUCCUUGCAAUCGGAGCAAUGAUUUUAUCAUAAAUUGGGACAGUCAAAAGAAUGCUGCCGACGAAGAAAACUGUGAGUGACGCUGGUGGGAUCUGGAAUGUGCCAAUGUGACGGUCCAUGGUCGUAGCUUGAGACACGGAAAAGGUUGUCAUUUGGGCAUAGACGGUCCAAAAUAUGAUAGUGGUUGCCCAAAUAGGUAACAUCCUUACCACCAAUUUCACUUCUUCAACAUCUGUUAAGGUAGCUAAGUUCCACUUGUUUGCCUCAGGCACAGAUGGGUCCUUGAUCGCUGCCCUAUCCAAGAAACUGUACACAAUACCAAGCAACGAAAAAAAAAUUAGCCAAUAAUAAAUAAAAGGUUAUCCUAAUGUGUUUUUUUAAUUAUGACCCAUAUAUCAAAGGCAAUUAAUUAAAGAAUGUCCACAAGUGUCAAAAAAGAUAUGGUUACUAUUAAUAGCGCGUGAUGCAAAGCAAGUGAAUAGGCUUAACUGGGGAUGGUGAAGGUGUAAAGUGAUGGUUUGAAUACAAGAUUUUGUGAGGAUUGAUCUAGUUUGGUUCCUAGUGAUCUCUCUUUCUAUUCCUCACUGAAUAAUAUUACCUCUAACUUACAUAUUAAAGUCUCAAUCUGCAUGUUUUUUAAUCAUUUCAUCUUUAAACACCUAUAUAUUUCACAGUCAAUAUUAAACCAGAUAUGUUAUACAAUGAAAAAAAUAGAGGAAAUUCAAUAAUUACAAUUUGAUUAUUCGUGUUUAGAAAUGAAAUAAAAGUAAAGAUUGGUUUUCAAAAAGAAUACUAACCGGAACUGCUUACUGUGAGGCAACUUUUGCUUCUUCUUCUUGUUAUUCAAUCCUUCAACUGCAUCAUCAAUUUCGAAAAGCAGGGAUGAAUCAAAUGGCAAAUCCAAAUGCCUCUUCUUCCACGCAACUACAAACACUGCGCCAAUUUGGGUCAAUGGGCUCCCCACUAAUUUCUUGAAACGGUAGCGCUUGGUACCCGAUAGAAACACCACCAACCCUAUCACGAUUGCACAAGCACAGAUACCGUAGCCCCAUUCACGUCCUAAAUUGUCUUGGAUGUACACCAGCACGGUGACUGAACCAAGUGAGCCUAUGUUUAUGAAGAAAAAGAACCAAUUGAAGAAGUUUGUCAUCUGGGAUUUCUCUUCAGGGUCUGACUCGUCGAACUGGUCUGACCCGAACCCCGAGACACUUGAUUUGAGUCCCCCAGUUCCAAGGGCGGUCAGGUAGAGAGCUAGGUAGAGAAUAAUGAGUUGUAUACCGCUUGCUGGGGUGCAAGUUGUUGCGUUGUCCCUGGUACAUUUAGGAGGCCUUAGGCUUGGGAUUAUGGUUGAGAUGGUCAAUAUGGUGACGCCCUGCUCAAUAAAGUAAUUAAAGAUUAAUGAACUUUUAGCUUUUCAUUUAAGGUGGGAAGUUAAACACGGAAGUAGCAGGUUAAAGAAAAUGAGAAAAUAAUUAAUCUUCAGGUCAAAGGAAAUGAAUCUUACAGUUGCCUGAACGGUGGCGAAGAUUGCGAUGGUGAGAUAUCUGUGAAUAGGAGAGAAGUCAUGGUUAACUGAGAGUGGUGCAAUGAGGCGAAGCCAAUACAAAUUUUUAGGGGCCGAAUGAAAUUUUAAUUUUUAAUAGUAUAUAUCUUUAUAAUUUUUAAAGAAUUAAAUCUAUUUUUUAUAAUUUUAGGGGGGCCAAAUUAUAAUUUUACCUUUACUAUUUUAUUUUUAAAAAAAAAUCAAGGGCCUAAAUUGAAAUUUUCCAUUUUAGGGGGGCAAAUACCUAUGCCAGCCCCUCUUGUAUCAGCCAAGUGCAUGCAAAAGUAGAAAAUGUGGUGGUGAGAGUUGGAGUUAGAGAAGAGGCCAAACCUGCCAAGAAAAGUAUCCGCGAUGAAGCCACCGAGUAGACACAACAUGAAAGAGGUGCCGAGGAAGUUGGUCACUGUGUUGGCUGCGGUAGCAUUCCCUAAAUGCAUAGUCUCAGUUAAAUACGUCACCAAAUUAACAGCUAUACCUAACGUUGUUAGCCUCUCACAUGCCUCGCCACCUGAUAGAGAUAUACACAAACAAAAGAAAACCCCAUCCGCUUAGCUUACUCAAAACCAAACGCCUACAAAAAUUUUAAAAAAAAAGUAAAAGCAAAAACUAAAGCAUUCAAAUGGAGGAGGUGCAUGAUAAAAUACCUAGAAUCAUAGCUGCACUGGUCCAGCCACCGGACUUGGACCGCUCGGUCGGCUUGCCCCUGUAGUCCCAGGCAUCAGGGAGGGUUUUCCCUUGUGUUACAGGGAGGGACAUUGUUCGAUACAAGGUGAGACAAUGGUUGCAAAAAGCUAACUUUGAAUUUGAUAGAAAGGAGUAGUGAUGGGAGCAAUGGGUGGUGAGGGGUUAUUUAUAGAGAGGAGAGUGAAGGAUGCUUGGGUGGUGGCACAAUCAUGUUGAGGCCAACAUGUGAGAUAAAAGGUCCAAUUUGAAGGAAAUGACACUUUUGGCCUACAUUGAUUGGUUGUGCUGUUAUUUAACUAAUUGUUGGACACAAAUGAUUGAUACAUGUACUCCAAAGUUGAAAUUUUUGAAACGUAGUUAGGAAUGAAAGGUCGGCUCAAGAAAUUUUUUUUUGAAACCAUCGGAUUUGAGCAUGAAAAUAAUUAUCAACUAACAAAAACAACCUUUAACCCAUAAAAACCAAUCCAUGAGGUUCAGAAUCACCAAAUAAUAUGAUAAUCUACUCAAACUAUUUUGGCAAGUUGUAACGAUAGAUAUUUGGAUAUUGUAUACGCAAUGAUGUACAUGAUAAGUGAGUGCACCAAAGACGAUAUUGUGUUAGGAUUGGCAACUUCACCACCCUUUGGUCUUCAUUUCCAUUAACCAAAGUUUUCUAACUUGGGACAACCUUUAUUUGGUAUUUAUUAAUAAACUUUUAGUUUCAGCUGCAAUUUAGUUUUUGAUGCCAUUUAAAAAAACUAAUCACUAAACUAAUAUUUGUAUUUAAGUCCGAAUUAACCUAGCAAUCAGAUUUUUUAAAGAUUUUCGGUACAAUAAUAAACUCUUCAUUUAUUAUAUUUUUACCUAAAAGGGACUGAUAUGUAUUUAAUGCAAGUUGCUUUCAGAUUUCACAUUAAUUAAUAAUGACUAGUAGUCACGCAAAAAGCAACAUUAAUUUGGUCGAUCUCAAAGUGUAGGAAAUCAUGUUAGAAAAGAUCCAUGACACAAAAUCUUUUGAUUAACGGUUCAAAUUUCAUUUGCUAUGAACACCAUCCAAUUCCCAUGGCCAUACCAGCUGCUGGGAAAUUUUUAAUAAAUAAAAAUGAAAAAGAAAGCUUCCUUCCUUUAUACGAAUUGAAGGUCAAAAUCUAUUUCUACUUUUUCCCUAGCCACCUAGCUAGUGCCCAUGGGUUCACUGUAUUUCUUACAUGCAUGAUAAGGACUCAUGUCUGUUUUUAUACGAAAAGAGUGGUUAUCAGAGUCGUUAUCCCAAUCUCCCAAUACCCUGGAGUUUCUCGCCAAUGCAUCAUUACACUUUUCCAUAUUUCAUUACUAUGCUUGAAAAUAUAUGAAACACUACAAUUAUCAAGAAAUAUGUAAAUCAUGUAUAGUUCAUGUUACUCGGUACUUUUUAAGUCUUUUUACAUAUGCAAAUAUUCAUUAUUUAGGUAAAACAAAGAUAUUCACAUCAUAUAUAACUUGUUGUUGGCCAGGAGAUACGAUAACAUGGAUAACCCUUUUUUUUUUUCCUCGACUUUAUUUUACAUAUGCACAUAUUCAUAAUUUAGCUACACAUCACUAUACUUCCUAACUAUGAAUUCCUCAACUCAUACAGCAUAGGAAUAAUAACAACGUAAGAAAUGCACUAACAGUGUGCCAAUAUUAAUGCGAAAAUAGCACAAGCUAAAAAUGGUAGGUUCCGUUGGAAAGGAAACUGACGACCCAGGCCAGCAACGAGUAAAUUAAGAACAUAGCCACAAAAGGAGCUUUUAGUUGAAAUAUGUGUCCAAUUGUUUUAAAUGCAUGAGAGGGAGACAUAUAUCAGCUAUAUAUCUAUUGCAUUUGAUUAGCAAUUAAUCAGCGAAUAUUGGUGCAGCAGAUGAAAGGAUGGGGUGAAAUCAGAAAAAGUUAAAAAGGGAUAUGGGUGCAUCCGUACGUUCACAUGAAGCUCUCCGGGUGCUCCUGCUCCCGAUUUCUCUUUUGCAUCCACUUUUAUACAAAUAUAUAUUUAUGUAUGAUAACUAAACCGUGAUUCCACAUUUCUAUUCAUUUCUAAUAUGAGAAUAACAAAUUAAAUUUUUUUAUUUUUAAUUUUUUCCUCCUAAAAAAAUUUAAAAUAUAACUAAAAAUGUUAAAAAUAAUGAGUUUAAGCACGCGGUUAAACUUGAUGUAUAGUUUUUUUUUUUCGUUUUUAAUUGCUUAAUGGCUAAUGCUAUCCUUAAUCUAAUGCUGACUAAGGUGAUAUCAAUAAAAAUAUACGUAUAAUUAGUAUAUUAUAAUUAUUUAUUAAAUUCAACUAAAAAUAAUAGAUUAAAUAAGAAUAAAAUUUGUCAAUUGAUAAUUAAUCUUUUAAAGUGUUGGUGAUGAACACCCUUAAAUUAGAUUUUUAUUUUGUCUUAUGGGAAUUAAUCGUACAUUUGGUUUAAUUGAAAGUUGGACGGUGGCUUAUAAUUAUAUCUUGCCACAAAGAAUUAUUGACAAGAACGGCCCAUCUUAGAAGUAUAGUUGGAACCAAACCGAUCGAGCCGGACCAUUCAACUAAUUCAAAAUAAAAACCAAUAAAAAAACAAAAUUUAAAAUUUAGAAAAAGUUUCAAAUGAUUCAAUAAAACACAAACAAAACUUAAGCAUCAUGUUAUGACUACUAAUUUUGAAAACCUAAACUCUUAUCAUAUAUGACGCUAAAGCCAAAACCUAAAAAAUUCUAAAAUUUUACUGUAAAAAAAAACAUUGAAUUUAAUGCUUUGGACUGGGAUGGGCUUGUAAAUUAAUAAGAAUUUUUUUUUAAAAUCGAAUGGGUGAUUGAACCGAUCAAGUCAUCAGUUUGUUAGUUCAAUUGAUUGAAUCAAUUCAACUAAAAAAUAAACAAUGUAACUUUUGACUCUUAAAUUUGACAACUAGGUUCAGUUUGAUACUUAUAUAUAUUUUUUGUUUACUUUAGCACUUGAACUUAACAAUUAGGUCCAGUUUGAUCCAUGAACUUGAAAAAUCUAACACUUUAAUGAUAUGGCACUCUAAGUUUAAAAUUUUUUAAAAAAAUUAGAUGAUGUGGUACAAUCUUAGAGUUUUAUAUUCAAUAUUUUAAUAAUUGUACUAAAUAUGAAACUCUAAGAUUCUACCACAUCAUCAUUUAAAUUUUGUUAAAAUUUUCAAACUCAAAGUGUCAUAUUAUCAAAGUUUUAGAUUUUUUAAGUUUAGGGAUCAAAAUGGACUUAAUUGUCAAGUUCAAAAGCUAAAAUGAACCAAAAAAAAAGUAGACGUAUCAAAGUGAACCUAGUUGUCAACUUCAGGAGCCAAUGUGGACAUACUUGCUAAGUUCAAGGGCCAAAAGUUACAUUAUCCCUAUUGUUUUCACGGCCAUUAACACAAUGGGCUUAAAUGAAUAACAAUUUUUAAGUUAAGGGUUCAAAAUAUAUCAAAAAAAAUUUCAAGGGCUAAUGUGGACCUACUUUCCAUUAAAAUAAUUAUUAAAAAUAAUUAAAUAAUAAAUUAAAAAAUCCGGCUCAACCUCCUGGUUCAACCGAUUUUUUUUUGAUUCAAUCUUUUUAUACCGAUUCUCGAAUCAAUCGAUUCAAAACCUCGAUUCAGUCUGAUACUUUGACCAAUUCUAGAUCCAACUAAUUUGACUGACCAAUCUAAUCCGGUUUAAAGAACACUACAAAAUAUAUUUUAAAAAAUUAAUUCAAGCGUUUUUUCUAAAUUUUUAUUUAUUUAUUCUAUACUGAAUAUUUUACAAGUUGAAAACAAUUAUUGAUAAAUUUAUCAUAUUACAGUAAUUGAAGAAUGAAAUUAGUUAAUUUCAAUUCAACUCAUCGGAUUUUGAUAAUAUUGAAAAAAAAAUGAUGCUGAUAAGAAGAGUUAAUGUUAAGAAAUGAAGCUAUAAGAAGAAGAGUAUUGCUUAUAGGUUGUUACUAGAAGGACCUUGUUAUAAUUUCAUUUAUUGAAUUGAUAUUACUCUCACAUUAAAUUUUUUUUUUAAUAUUUAAGAGUGUUUUUUGGAAUCUGGAAAAGACAUAUUUGCAGUUGUUGGUAAUGAAAGAACCUACCCCUCCCUACCAUUGGAACACGUGACACGUCUGAUUCCAAAGAUUCUACGUGGGCUCUUUUGGGGUGGAUUCUCCACCACUGAUUGAGCCCUAGGGUUGACUAUCCAUAAUUUUUUAAACCCCCCAUCGACCAAAAAAAUUUUAGUCAAUAUUAAAGACUUCAUUGGUCGGUUUCAUGGUGGCGGCCUUUGCCAAAUAGGUGCUUUUUUUUUUUUUAAUUAUCACCCUUGUAUAUAUAUAUUACUUCAAUGGUAAAAUGUGUAUUAACUAGCGGAUAAUUAAAACCAACAUGAAAGAAUUUUAAAAAAUAUUGAUAAAACCUUCUCUUCAUGGAUUAUAAACUAUUUUAUAAUGUUAUUUUUAUCAAGAAAAGUCAACCAAAAUAUAAUCAUGAACCAUUAAGGUGAUUAAUGCAACCAUAUAUUUCAGAAAUUAAAGGCAUAUAUAUCCACCGAUAACUACAAAUGACAUUCAAUAGCUUUAUAGUUUAUACCAUAUAAUUAAUUUCAUUCGUUAAUUCAUAUUAAUUUUUAUAAGCAAAUGAAUAGCUUCACGUUGACAACCCAAGAAAGGAAAGAAAAGGUCACAAAUGGAUAACAAUUAUGGUAUAAUGUAUUAAAUGUUUGUAUUAUUAAGGAUGGUGUGUAGAGUAGAAUAAAGAAUACAUUUCAUGUAUUCCUUGGAGUUCUCCAAGAGCCAAUGCAUAUACUAUAGUAGACAAUAUGAACAAGUGGCUAAGUCACAUAGGCUGUUUAUUAACUUCAAAAAUGGAAUAUACUGAUUUCUCAUUAAAACAGUCCUAUAAUAGAUGAGAGAGAAUCAAUUAAUCCAGUUGUAACAUUAUGAUUGGAUGCUACACCACUUUUUUAAUUAACAUAGAAGAAAAAUAAAUAGAGAGGGUCCCAUUGAAAGCAUGCUAGUGGUUUUACCCUAAAAAAAAUAAAAAAUAAAAGAGCAUGCUACUGGUUUUGAAUAUUAAUUUAUAUCCUAAUUCAUGGAUGGACAGCACAAUCUCUUAUAAGUCAAACAAACUGAUUAUCAAUUAGUAGUUAUGGGUUAGUCUUUAUAUUUUAAUAUGUUGGUUUUUAGGCUCUAGUUAUUAAAUUUAUGAAGUUUUGUUAUUUUUAAAAUUUGAUACGAUUAACAUAUUAUCACAUUUUAUUAGAAAAAAAUCUAGUUAAUAGGUUUAAUAAGUUUCGUUUGUGUCAAUAUUAAAAUUUUAAAAUUCGAAAAGUAUAAUAUAACUAAAAAAUAUAGCCUAAACCUAUAGCCUUAUAUAUAGUACGUGACUAAUAUAAUAGAAUUUAAUCAAAUAAAUUUAACUGUUAUUGUUUGAAUAUGAAUUAAAAUUUCAAAAUUCAAAAAAAUAAAAUGAUUAAAAUUAAUAUAUAUAUAUAUAAAAGUUAAAUUCAUAAUUUUUACAAAGUAUAAAAACUAACAAUAAAAUUUAACCUAUAAAAAAUUAAUUGGAGACUAUAAAUUACAAGAAAAAACUAUCAUUAUUAAGACAAUAUCGGGACCCUAAAAAAAAAAAAAGAACAAUAUUCGGACUUAAUUCGGUUAACCAAAGAUUUCAUCGUCCACCACGCGUUAAUAUUUUUGAAACCAACAUGAAGUCAUAUCUGAUGUGGUACAUUGUUUGAUUUGAUUAUGAGAUGACACACUAACUCAGAUACGUGGUCAAGGCCAACAUUGUAGCUUGAUAUAUAGUUAAGGUAGCUAUUUUUAAUUCCUUAAUGAUAUAGGUUUUGGAAUAUAAUGAGCUGAUCAAUAUUAAAUUUCUACCUUUUCCUUUUCUACUUUAAUUAUCCUAAUCAACCCUAAUUUACUCGGUCAAAUAAAACAGAAUAAGAUUAUAGUGUUAUUUAAGCUUUGUUUGUUUUAUUGAAAUUAGAUUUCGAAAAAAUAUUUUUUGUAUUUUUUUAUAUUUGUUUCAUGAAAACAGCUUGAUCAACAAAAAAUGACUUAUAAAUCGAAGAAAAAUAAGUCAUUUGUGUUAUUUAGUUCCUGUACUUUUAUUUUUAAGAAUUUAAUCCCUCCACUUUUUAAAUUUGAAAAUCAAACCCUAUUGUAAGCACUGUUAAAUUCUUUUUGUUAAUUUUGUUGAUGUCACAUUUUUUUAAUAAAAAAAUAUUCGAUAUUCAUGCAACAAAAAAAAUGAUGUUAUAAUGAACAUGAAUUUAACAAAAUAUUUUUAAUAAUACUAACAGCUAAACUUGAAUUUUGAUAUCUAUAAAGUAAGACUAACCCAAAAAUAAAAGUACAUGAACUAAAUUUCAAAUUUACGAAAAGUACAAGGACUUAUGACAUAUUUUAACCUAGUAUAAAAAUAUGAAUAUCUUAAUUAUAAAAAUAUGAGUAUUUGUUUAAAUAAUGCUUAGUUUUAUUUAUCCCUUUAUAACUCUAAUGUGUCAAUAUGUACUCUCAUAUAAUUUAAAUUAAGUUUUAAUUAAGCAUUAUUUAUUAUUAAGUUUAUAUAUGACAUUGAUUAUUACAAAAUAUUUUUUAUUAUAAAAUAAAUUUUGAUUGUUAAAAGGAAAUUGCAAUAUAAUAUUUUAUAACAAAUAUAUUUAUGUCAUGUUUGUUUUACAAAGAACAAUAUAAAUAUAAAUAUAUAUAUAAAAUAAACUCAAUUAAAUAAUGAAAAUUCAAUAGAAUCUUAAAUGUAUGGUUGUUUCAUUAAAAACAAAUUUUAUGAAAUAUUUUUAAUAAAUCUGUCAAACAACCGAAAAUAGUUUACACGGAUUCAUCCAAACACCAAAAAAUAUUAGCUUUUUCAGAAAAGCAAUUCAUUUUUCGGAAGCCAUUUUUAGUGAAAUAUUGAAAUCAUAAACGGACAAAACCUUUUUUUUAAGAGGUCAAAAUUAAAUUAUAUUUUUUGAGAGUUAAAAUAUAAUUUUGUCAUUGUAUUAACUUAUAUAUUUAUAAUUUUUCAAAGGAUUAAAUAAAUUAUUGUAUCAAUUUUGGAAGGCUUGAGUGCAAUCUUACCAUGUAUAACAUUGUUGAGUGUUUUUCUCUCCCUUCUUUAGAUGGUAAAGUUACGUAUUUAUAUGAUAUGAUUACUAUUCAUUAAUGUGAUAUCUUAGUAGGUUCUAUGCAUAUCAACACGUACCCUAUUCUAGGUUUAACACGUGUUUAUACAAUAGGGGUUCGCCUAUGUGAUAGUGUGCGAUGUCACAUUGUGCGAUCUUACAUGCAGGUGUGAGUGCUUUAUCUACAAACCCAUGGUGUCAAGCGAGUCUGAUGUGCGAACUGUGUAGAAUUCAACCCGAACCCAAUCAAAUUAUAAGUCGAUAAUAGUGAAUAUCAUAACAAACAUAUAAUUUUAUAAAUUUUAAAGCGUCAUUUUUGCAUUUUAAAGGGUCAUAGCUCUUAUGUAACCCAUUUUCUUGAAAAAAAAGAGAGAGUAUAUCUACAAUUAUUGAUAAUCACAAGUGUUAAAAGAAAAUAUGUAAGGAAAAAAAGAGGAAGAUGUAGAUUCCAGGAAGCUGAGUUGAGAGAUGCAAGGAAGGAGUUUGAUUAUGUAAUAAUUAGAGCAAUGGAAGCUAGUAAUUAAGCUAAUGCCUAAGGAAGUCUACAACUAGAGGUGUGCAUGGGCCGGGCUACCCGGCCUGGCCCGAAGGCCCGCCCGAAAUGUGAGAGGGUUUGGGCAAAAAUAUAGGCCCGAAAAAUGGGCUUGGACAAAAAAAUAAGGCCGUUUAAAAAAUGGGCCAGGCCUCGGGUAAGGUAUUUUUAGCCUGGGCCCGGCCCGAAUCACUAAAGGACAAAAAAAAUCUGCAUAUAUAUUUUUUAUUUUUGAAUGUUAUUUUCUUAUUAUUUUCUCCCUAUUUUGCUACCAUUUUACUAUUAUGUUGCUAUUAUUUUGUUGUUAUUGUUUGGAUAUUGUAUAAAAUUUAUUUUACUGUUAAUUUUCUUAUUAUUUUAAAGGCAUUUGUUAAUUUUUUAUUAUUUUAGAAGCAUUUGCUUGUUAAGUUGCAUUUAUCUUAGUGUUAUUUAAGUCUACAUAUGUUUUAAAAUUUAUUUUUAAUUUGUUGGAAAAUAUUUAUUUUGAUUUUUUUUGUAUUUUUGAUGUAUUAUAUAUAUUUAAAAAUAAUAUAAAAAAUUAAUACGGGCCGGCCGGGUCGGGCCCGAGUUUUAGUAUUUUUAUCCUGGUCGGGCUUGAAAAAAAUUUUAGGCCCAUUUUUUGGGCCCGGCCCGACCCGAGCCCAAUAAAUGAGCAUGAUUUUUUAGUUGAACCCAGCCCGAACCCUGCCCGACCCGACCCAUGAACACCUCUAUCCACAACUGGGGAAGUCACAAUAAUUGUGUGGACGCCAUUCGCCAACAACAAUUUUAUUUUUCUUCAUAAUUAAAGCAUGAUCCCAUGUGUUGGGAAUGUACUGAUCUAAGCUUUUUGGAUUCGGAUCCAUUUUCGAUUUCUUUAAAUUAUAUUAUCAAAGAUUCAAAAAGUUGAUCCCAUUGUGUUGAAAACCCUAAACCAAGCUAAUAUAAUACAAGAUUAAGGAAUGGAAACAAGGGAAAGUGGAAUGCAUGUCCCACGGUACAGAUUCAUUUUCCCACCCUCCUCCACUAUCAAAGGUGGCCAUUUAUGUAUUUUUAGCUUAAAAUUAAAGGGCAGAAAAGAAAAAAGAGGGUAAACAUGGCUCAAAAAUCAAAACCAAUAAAUUAAAAUAAACAAAUUUGGAAAAAUGUGAUAAACGUGAUAAGAGUAUAUCAAGCUUGCCCCUUUUUUUUUAAAUAAUAGAAUCAAAAUGGUAUUUACAAUUGUUUAAUAUAUAUAUUCGUUUAUUCACAGAGUUCAAUGUAAAUAUGAAGAACAAAAAAACACUCUUUAAUGUAAAUUCCCCACAUUGAUUGAUAAUCAAGAAAAAUAUACUGUAAGUAGUCAACUUUUUUUUUGGUUUUCAAUUCCAUGUUUUCGAGUUUUCUCUUCACAGCCAUUAAUAUUAAAGGGUGGGAGAGAGAGAAAAAAAAAAGAUUAAAGUAAUUACAAGUCUCGAGUUUUCACUUCUCAGGCAUGAAUGGGAUGUUAAUUAAAGAGUAAAAAAAGAGAGAAAGCAUCUAGUUUUGGCUCCACAAUGCAAGUUAAAGACACUGAUGAAAUGAUCGAAGGAAAAUGAAAGAAGUUCCAAGUCAGUCGAGUUUUCGCUUCACAGAUAUGGCCAACACCUCAUCUGGCCUUCAUGUAUGGAUGUCAUACUUAUCAAACAUAGAAAAUGAUAUAUCAAUGAAGAUGAAAAACCCUCGUGUUUUCGCUUCACAGUCAUGGCAUCAAAUAUUAAAUAUAUACUAUUUGUCCUAGAAAUGUUUAAUGUUCUAUCUCUACAUCUUUGACCCAUAAGAGUUAUCACUCGUGUCAUAUUUUAUGUUGCUAUUAUAUUUACAUAAAAUUCAAUGCAUGUUUUAAUUUGAAUGGAGUGAUAGUUAAAAAUUUUGUCAAUUUAAUAUGAAUUCAAAUCUUAUUAUUUACAUUCCUACCUUUAAUAUUGUAUAAAAAAAUUAUGUUGCAUUCAUGUUAUUUCUAUUAUGUUCAAAAGUAGAAUUCUACGAUGGUGAUGAAAUCUCUCACUUGGGCAAAUUAUGGGGUCUUAUAAGAUAGUUUUGACCUUUGUUAGUUUAGUUCAUUGAUUAGGGCUUUGAUCCAAUUAACUUAGAGGAGCCAAUGCAAAGAUAGGUGGUGUUAUAUUUGGGCUUUCAUAUGAGAUUGGGUUUGGGAGACCUCGAAUAAUGGGCCUUUUUCAGCAGAGAUUGAAUGAUUGACGUAACAUGGCAAUUUGCUCCCCCACCUCGCAAUCACAAACAUCCAAACUUACACCAAAAUUCUUAUUCUUGUGCCACCUAAAAUCAUAAUUUUAUGUCGGCCGUUAAUAAAAUAAAAUCCCAAUAACUUCAAAUAUAUGCAUUCACAUUUUACUAUGUAUAUUAAUUAGCUAUCGUCAAAAUCAACCGACUUACCCUCCUUUUCCGUCACUAUAAACCCCCCCCACCCUUCACUCUAGAUUCUCCAUCCUUUGCUACACUCUCUCUCCUAUACUAACUUCUUCCACUUAAAAGCAAGUUAGCUAGCUAGGGUUUUUUGAGCCAGAGAGAUGGGUUCGAAAAGAACAGCAUCACUAGCCCUCCUCUUUGCACUCAACAUCCUCUUCUUUUCCCUGGUGAGUGCUUGUGGUUCCUGCCCUUCCCCCAACCCCAAACCUAAACCUAAACCUAAACCAAAGCCAAACCCUACUCCCUCCCCAUCUUCUUCUGGCAAGUGCCCUAGAGAUGCUCUUAAACUCGGUGUAUGUGCUGAUUUGCUCCGUGGCUUGCUCAACGUCACCAUUGGUACCCCUCCUGUUCAACCCUGCUGCUCUCUCAUCCAAGGUCUUGCUGAUCUUGAAGCUGCCGUUUGCCUUUGCACGGCAAUCAAAGCAAAUAUUUUGGGCAUCAACCUUAAUGUCCCACUUUCCCUCAGUUUGCUUCUUAAUGUCUGCUCAAAGAAAGUACCCUCUGGCUUCCAAUGUCGCUAAAUCAGUUCUCUAAAUUCUUUCUCUUCUUAGUGCUGCGUGGUUUUGAUGUUCUUAAGGUCCAGUUUGAAGUGAUCAAUGUUUUCUCGGUAACUGGUCGUUUAAUCUACGAUGUUGUAGUGUUGUUUCCUUUUGGAUUGAUUCUGAAUAAAUGUAACACCAUAUAAAAAAGAAGAUGUUUAAUUUCUUUGGAUUUAUGUAUCUUCAUGGGGAAUGAAAUAUUAGUAUAAUUCAGCUAUGUUUCAUCACAGAGUAGAAGCACGUCUAAUUUCUCAAUGCUCUAAUGCUACAGUAUCUGGUCCCGUGGCCGUGACUUUAGUGGCGAAAACAUUUUGUAUAUAGGAAGCAUUCUCUUCUUUUGUUUAUUUUUUACUCUACAGGUUGAGAUCACCUGGUUUGUCUCCUAUAUUAUCCUUUCUAUUUUGUUACUUGUCAGUAUCUUAGUGCAACCCUUAUGUAACCAGCUUGUUAUUAUUUCAAUUAAAUAACAUGAUAUCUAAAACCUCCUGUGGUCAUGAAGAAUUAUAAAGUACCAGAAUUAUUAAACCUCGUGAAGGUUAAGGCAAAAGUGUGGAAUAUGUCGUGUAAUAAAAGAAGCAAAAGAGAGGAGGAACAUGCUCGCAUAUCAAUGCCGAUUCAGAUUUUGUGAAGGUCUGAGAAAUAACAGCUGGGACAUGUUUCACUAAAAGGGCCCGACAAGUGUAAACAAUUAGGACGAGAGGUUUCAAUCGUUCCUACGGUUCUCAUCUCGUUUAUUGUUUGGAGUGGGAGAGAUAAUUAAAAGUACCAUUCAACCAAGUAGUAUGAGUAAGAUAACCUUUUGUUUUCAUAAAAAAUUGAGUAAAUUAAUUCAGGAAUAUUAAAUUAAAAAAUAGAUUGAUUUUCUGUUUAUUCUUUUUAUUUUUAUUGUUAAAAAUUUAUAUAUACAUAUACAUUAACAUGAGGUACAAGUGACAUGUUAUGUGUUAUUGUUUAAUUAUUCUAUUAGCAACGCUAAUUUUUAAUAGUACAAGUUGAUAAACUUUUUAACAUAAUAAAUUAAAUUUAUUUUUUAAUUUAAUAUAUAAAAAUUAUUAAUUUACCUAAUUUUUAAAUGAGAUGAAAUACAAUUUAACUCCUAAUAAAAAUAUUUAGUGAUACUUUUAUUGAUAACAUAACUAUAAACAUUUUUAAUAUUUUUAAUAUUCAUUUUACGUUUGAUAUUUUGUCUACCUUUAAAAAUAUAGGAUAUUUAAUGGGUACAUAAUAUAGUAAUAAACUUUUCUAGUAAGUACUAAGUGGUUUCAAGAAAGUAAAUAAAUGAGAGUGGUAUGGCUCAUGGCUCAUGGUUUUGAGAGCCGGUAGAACCACCCACUGAAGCACAGUUUGGAGCCCGUGACUAAUAUGAACGCGUUCUCAAACGAGGAAAAAGAAAAAGGAAAUGAUGAAAAAGAAGGUUCAUUUCACCUCAGCCUCCGUCACUGCACCAAAAGAAAGGCAAAAGAUUCCUUUGGCCUUCCAGAGAUUUCAAGACAAUGGUCUUCCUUUAAACGUGUUGAUUACUUAGGAAGUGAUAAUUUUAUGAUUACAUUAUAAAAAGUGAUAUAAUCAUGUGUAUUUUAUUUCAUUUAGUUAAGCAUUUUUUUCUAUAUUCAUUUUAAAAAUCAUAAAUACUAGUUGUUUUAAGAAUGUAAUAUAUCACAUCACUACCUUGUUAUUAUGUUUUUGAUGGUAAGUUUCUGGUCAUAAUGCAAUACCUGAAAGGAAUAAAUUAUUAAAAAAAAAAUGCAUGAACGACAACUAGAUUUUAAACAUCAAUAUGAAAUUGGAAAAUUAUGAUUAUUGUCUACCAUGGAUAAGACCAAUGUCGUAUUCAUUACCAUUAACCUUUAAUUUCUUGCAUUAAGAUUCUUUAAAGAAAACGGGCACUCCAACCCCACGCAAAGGGAGGUAAUAAUAGCCGAUAACCCUCCCAAUCCCAUUCUUACACCUAUUAAAUCUUAGUGAUAAAAAACGAGAUUCUAUCUGCUUUAACAUCUAUAACAUAAUUAGAAAUAUAUAUAAAAGAUUUAAAAUAAAAUAUAACCUAAAAAAGGAUUUUAAAGCAAGACCCGUGAACUGAUUUUUGUCUCCUAUUAUAACCUAAUACCACAACCAUCAUAAUCCAAUAAUUAAGUUUUCAUAAUCUCCUCGAUACAUGCAUGUACUAUUAUAAUAACUAAAAUGCAAAUACAAAAUUUACUAAAAGGAGGGGGGGGGACACCUUUGGCAUGUCAUAGAUAUUGAUUUUUGAGAGCUGAGAUGGAUAUCCAACUCAUCCUGAUUAAUUAUUAUUGUACUUGAGAUUUAGGUUGAACUUUGAGGCAUUGGAAAUUUGAUUAGUUAAUGCUAAAACUGAAACUAUUUUCGUCUUCGUUCGAAGGAAAAUGACGUCCACAAGCAACGAAGUUCUAUUUAGAUAAUGUCGAUGAAUUGCUAUUCUAACGAUUAUAGUGGCAUUAUUGAGUUUGAAGAUAAUAAUGUUCUCUGUAAGUGCAAUUAUUACAAUAGAUUCUUCCAUAAAUAGUUUGCCUGUCCAUAACUAUAAGUAGUUGAAGAAUAUAUGUUAUCUACCAUGAUGUCUAAUUACGUUAAAUUUUCUUGCAAAGCCGAUUACGUCAAUUAUUAUUACUAUGGGAAAAAUAUGUAUAUACUUCUCUAAUAUCUAACAUAAAUACUGUAAAAUUUUUUAAAAAUUAGCUGUAAAUCAUAAUAUAAAAGAAGCGACUGAAUGUAUUGCAUUUAGGUCACUUCUAAGUUAAGUACCACCCAAGAUUAUUAAUUCAUUUUAGUUGAGUUAAAUCAUGAUACUUUCGAAUGCAAGUUCUAUAAGUUCCAGCCCUGAAGAUUAAAGGAAAAAACGCUAAAUCAAUUGAAAAUACAACCACAAUGGUGAAAUCAUAAAACGACCCCAACUCAAACCUAAUAACGGAAAAGUACAGAUUUUCUUUUCACAAUUUCAACGGGUUUUUUGGUAGCUAUCACAAACAGUUAAGAAUAGGUGACCAAGGUGGCAACCCUGCCUAAAAGCUGAACUGACUAUCUGACUGUCUUUUUUCUUGUGCGUCGGGAGAGAAAGUGUGACGGAUAGCCUAGUAAGUAAUGAAUGUGGCGCUUAAAAAGGAGGACAAAUGAAACCAGGUGGAGGGUUUUUCCCACAAGUUAUUAAAGCUUGAAGAGCAAGGGGAAUGAAGAUGUUAAGGUUUAGGAGCUUAAGCCUUAUGGCUGUGCAAAGACAAACGGCUGCUUCGAGCUCUAGUAGACCUCCCAGCACUGGGCAGCAAGCAUUCUCAACAGGGUCUCCUAACCCAAUAUGCACCAAUCCUCCAAGCACAUCCACGCACAGUCCUAGCUUAAGUGCAUUAACCGGGCAUGUUGGUUGUGUUGGCACAUAAUUAAAUUAAUCUUGCACAAAAUAAAUUAUGAAAAGUUACGAAUGUGAAGAGGCUUGAAUAUGAAGAGUUAAUAAUGCAAAGAGACUUGAAGAUGAAAAGUUACACACAUGCAUGGAUAGUCAUAACUCUUAUAGUAUUUAAGUUAUGUAAAUGAAUAGUCACAACUCCUAGCAUUUAGUGAUAUAGAUGAAUAGUCACUUACAACUCCUAUAUAAAGGGUUGUAUGUGAUGAAGAAUAUUAUUGAGUGAGUGAAAUAAAAAUUAAUCAAAAGGGUGUUUUCUUUCUUCCAUAAAAAUUAUUUCUCUUUUCAUUAUAUUCUUUAUUAUAUUCUUUGUUUUAUUUCUCCAAAUUUUGAUCAAUUUUCUACAAAUUGGUAUCAGAGCCAGGUUCGAUCGAAAUGAACAAUUCUAUUCCUCUUUCUUCCGUUCCCCAAUUAACCAAAGAAAAUUAUAGCAAAUGGAGUAUCCAAAUGAAGGCUCUUCUUGGAUCUCUAGAAGUUUGGGAGAUUGUUGAAAAAUGUUAUAAUGAAGUUGAGACUGAAGAGGAGGAAGGAUUAACACAAGUUCAAAAAGAGAGUCUAAGAAAAUCAAGGAAGAAAAAUCAGCAAGCCUUAUUUUGAAUAUAUCAAGGAGUUCAAUCAUAUGAAGCGGCUUGGGAAAAAAUAGCUUGUGCCACCACGGCAAAACAAGCAUGGGAAUUUUUACAAAAUUCAUUCAAAGGAGAUGAAAAGGUGAAAAGAGUUCGGUUGCAAACUCUUCGAGGAGAGUUUGAAAGAUUGCAAAAAACAGAGUCAGAAUCAGUUUCUGAUUACUGUUCACGGGUUUUGUCCAUAGUCAAUCAAUUAAAAAGAAAUGGUGAAACUAUGGAUGAUAUUCGUGGUGUUGAGAAAAUCCUCCGUUCUUUAGAUUCCAGAUUUGACUACAUUGUGGUUGCCAUUGAAGAAUCAAAGGACUUGAGUACCAUGACUAUUGAUGAACUCACAGGUUCGUUGCAAGCCCAUGAAGAAAGAUUAAACAAGAAGAAAAAGGAAGUAGAUCUAGAUCAAGCACUCCAGUCAAAGUUGUCUCUAAAUGAGAAUAAGGGAGAUUUUAAAAAUCAAAGAGGGAGAGAUCGUGGUCGUGGAAGAGGAAGAAAUUUUAGAGGAAGAGGCUCAAAUGCUCGUGAAAGAGGUGAAGAUGUAAGCAUGGAGAAUGGAUGGAAAGAAGCCAACCAAAGUCAAAAUUUUAGAGGAUCACAAAGAGGACGUGGACGUGGAAAUCAAAGAGGAAGAGGUCGUGGCUAUUUUGAAUGUUAUAAUUGUCGCAAACCUGGUCAUUUGGCAAGUGAAUGCUGGUACAAAAAAGAAGAGAAAAAUGAAGCUAAUAUAGUAAAAAAUAAUCAAGAGCAAAAGCAAGAAACUUUGUUGCUCGUAUCUCAUGGUGGAGAGAUUGAUGAUGUCUGGUACAUAGACAGUGGUGCUAGCAAGCAUAUGACAGGUAACAAAAAUUUAUUUUCGAAGUUCUUUGAAUCUGAUUGUGGAAAAGUAAAAGUAGGAGAUGGCAAAGCUUACAAAGUUAGCGGUGUUGGUGAGUUGGAGUUCAAAACAAAGCAAGGAAGGGUAGAGAAAAUGUCUGAAGUUUAUUUUGUUCCUGGUCUUAAAAAUAAUCUGCUUAGCGUUGGGCAUCUCUUAAAGAAGGGGUAUGAUAUUCAUUUCCGAGACAUGGCUUGCUAUUUAUCAAAGAAAAAUCAGGUUGUUGCUAGAGUUGGAGUGGCAUCAAAUAAUCUUUUCUCUCUUACCCUUCAAAAUCAGAAUAUGUCUUGUUUUAUUGGUGCUCAUAAAGGAAUUUCAAAGUUAUGGCAUGAUAGAUAUGGACAUUUAAACUAUGGAAAUUUGGAGAUGCUUUCAAGGAAGAUGAUGGUUAGAGGUUUACCAAAAAUCGAUCGGCUUGAUGAUGUUUGUGAAGCAUGUCAACUUGGAAAGCAACACAAAAUUGCUUUUCCUUCUCAAUCCUCGUGGAAAGCAAGAAGACCAUUGCAACUUAUUCACUCAGAUCUUUGUGGUCCAAUGACAGUUUCAUCUUUAGGAGGUAAUCGUUACUUUAUCUCUUUCAUUGAUGAUUACUCAAGAAAGUUAUGGGUGUAUUGUGUCAAAGAAAAAUCAGAGGCUUUUCAGAGAUUCAAAGAUUUCAAGGCAGAAGUGGAGAACUUUACUGGGUUGAAAAUUAACACCUUGCGUACAGAUCGUGGAGGUGAAUAUUUUUCAAAAGAAUUUGAGAAAUAUUGCCGAGAUUGUGGCAUUCGGCAUGAAAUGACAGUCCGCCAUACACCUCAGCAAAAUGGUGUGUGUGAAAGAAAGAACAGAACAAUUAUGGAAAUGGCUAGAUGUCUUCUUAAAAAGAAGAGGUUAUCAAGAAGAUUUUGGGCUGAAGCUGUUUCUUGUGCAGUUUAUCUUAUAAAUAGAUCACCGACAAGAAGCUUGGAGAAUUGCACACCACAUGAGGCGUGGUAUGGUAUAAAGCCUAGUGUUAGUCAUCUUAGAGUAUUUGGGAGUGUUGCCUACUCUCAUAUUCCAGAUGCAAUGAGAAGCAAGUUGGAUGACAAGUCAGAGAAAUGCAUUUUCAUUGGCUAUAGUGAAAGAAGUAAGGCAUACAAGUUGUACAAUCCGGUGAAAAAGAAGAUUGUGAUAAGCCGAGAUGUUCGGUUUGAUGAAAAUUCCAUGUUUGAAGAUAUGGAAGUUGAAAAGGAAAAGUUGCCAAUUUUUCCUUUUGAACUUGAAGAAGAAGAAGAGGCAGUAAUUGAGAAUGCUGAAGAUGAUGCUCAAGUAGGAAAUCCUCCUGCUUCCCCAAGUUAUUCAUCAAAUUCUUCUUCAUCCAGCCCGAUCCGAAAAACGAGAAGCAUCCAAGAGUUAUAUGAUGUAACGGAUGAAGUUGUGCAAAAUGAUGUUGUAUUCUUUGCCUUCUUUGCAGGAGAAGAUCCAAUUUCUUUUGAUGAUGCAUAUCAAGAAGAAUAUGGAGGAAAGCCAUGAAAGAAGAGAUUUGCUCAAUUGAAAACAAUGAUACAUGGGAACUCACAGAUUUACCGCCGCACAAGAAUUCAAUUGGAGUCAAAUGGGUGUACAAGACAAAGAUGAAUCCGAAUGGCUCUAUCAACAAGUACAAGGCAAGACUGGUUGCAAAAGGAUACAAGCAAAAGGAAGGAGAAGAUUUUACAGAGGUAUUUGCUCCAGUUUCAAGACUUGAGACAGUUCGGUUACUUAUUUCUCUUGCUGCCCAAAACAAUUGGAAAAUGUUCCAAAUGGAUGUAAAAUCUGCGUUUUUGAAUGGUGUUCUCAAAGAAGAAGUCUAUGUUGAUCAACCACCAGGGUUUGUCAAAAAAGGAGAAGAAGAAAAAGUUUACAAGUUGAAGAAAGCUUUGUACGGGUUGAAGCAAUCACCCCGAGCUUGGUACAGCCGAAUCGAUUCUUAUUUUCAAAAGUGUGGAUUCCAAAAAUCUCCAUAUGAGCAUACUCUCUACAUCAAAGGCAAUUAUCAAGGAAGAUUCAUGGUUGUUAGUCUCUACGUUGAUGAUCUUAUUUUCACAGGAAAUGAUGUGAAGACGUUGAAAGAAUUUCAGCACUCAAUGAUGGCAGAAUUUAAGAUGACAGAUUUGGGAGAACUUCAUCAUUUUCUUGGUAUUGAAGUUCAUCAAUCCAAGAAAGGAAUUUUUAUUUCACAAGAGAGCUACGCAAAGGAAGUUCUAAAAAAGUUCAUGAUGGAAAAUGCGAAUCUAGUCUCUACUCCAUGCAUUACAGGUCUGAAGUUAUCUAAAGAGGGUGAAGGAAAGCUUGUCAAUUCCACCAUAUUCAGAAGUUUGGUUGGGAAGUUGAUGUAUCUGACUUCGACAAGGCCUGACAUCGUGUAUGCUGUUAGUUUGGUGAGUAGAUUCAUGGAGAAACCUUACUCCAAUCACUGGGAGGCUGCCAAGAGAAUAUUGAGAUAUGUGAAGGGAACCAUUGAUUAUGGAAUUUUCUAUAAAGCUAAUACAUUAGUUGAUCUCAUUGGUUAUACGGAUAGUGAUUUAGCAGGAAGCAUUGAUGAUAGCAGAAGCACUUCUGGUUAUGUUUUUCACCUUGGUAGUGGUGCAGUUUCAUGGAGUUCAAAGAAACAAUCAGUUGUGGCGCUUUCGACUACAGAAGCUGAAUAUAUCGCUGCAUCUUAUGCAGGAUGUCAAUUGAUUUGGUUACGUGGAAUUUUGGAGAGUCUUAAGCAGAAGCAGAGCAAGUCAACGAUUUUGUUUUGUGACAAUAGUUCUACUAAUUCGGUCACAAAAGAUCCAGUUCUUCAUAAAAGGACAAAACACAUUCGCAUUCGGUAUCACUUCUUGAGGGAACUAGUGAAUAAUGGUGAUAUUCAAGUUGAAUAUUGCAAGACAGAAGAUCAGAUGGCUGAUAUCUUCACAAAGCCGCUUAGUGGACAAGUCUUCAAGAAAAAUGUUGAAAGGCUGGGAGUUCGAAGCAAGUUUAAUUUAAGGGAGACAUUGUUGGCACAUAAUUAAAUUAAUCUUGCACAAAAUAAAUUAUGAAAAGUUACGAAUGUGAAGAGGCUUGAAUAUGAAGAGUUAAUAAUGCAAAGAGACUUGAAGAUGAAAAGUUACACACAUGCAUGGAUAGUCAUAACUCUUAUAGUAUUUAAGUUAUGUAAAUGAAUAGUCACAACUCCUAGCAUUUAGUGAUAUAGAUGAAUAGUCACUUACAACUCCUAUAUAAAGGGUUGUAUGUGAUGAAGAAUAUUAUUGAGUGAGUGAAAUAAAAAUUAAUCAAAAGGGUGUUUUCUUUCUUCCAUAAAAAUUAUUUCUCUUUUCAUUAUAUUCUUUAUUAUAUUCUUUGUUUUAUUUCUCCAAAUUUUGAUCAAUUUUCUACAGGUUGGGUAGUUGGUGGAGCAGGAGUGCUACCCCCACCACCACCUCCACCUCCACCACCGCCACCGCCACCUCCUCCACCGCCGCCUCCCCCUCCACUAGAAGGUGGGUAAGGAGAAGAAGGUGGUGGGUUUGUAACAGGAGGGUUGGUAACGGGAGGGUUUGGUAUUGGUGGGACAAUAACUGGUGGCCUUGGCGGCUUUUUGGAUGGUGGUUCUACCUUUGGGGCGCCUCCAUGUUUUGGUGGGUGCUUAGGUUUAGGGUGACCCGGGUGUUUUGGGCGGUGGUAUGGGGGGGGGUGGACUUGUACAAGGAGCACAAGCAUAAAUGGGUGGCAACGAUACAAACAUGAAAAUCAACAAGAUGAAAAACAUGGCCGUAAGCUUCCAACCCAUGACUUAGGGUUCCAAGAUAUUCCCCCCGUUUGAGUUUUGAUAGGAUUGGAUGAAAUUCAAAGGAAACUAUAUAUAGCUCAACUUUAACGUGUCAGUGUAACCCGUGACUAUGGCUAAGAGUUUCAAAACAGCGAGACCCCUAAGAAGGUACCUGAAAGAAAAAACAUGGAGGAUACGGUUCCCAAGAGACGAAAUUGAAAAACAAAUUGAAGAUUUUGGAAGGUUGUAAGUUUUUUGCAAACUACAAUGUCCUGUCCGUGACUGUUGAACAGCUGAGUUUGAAUCCGUGAACAAGUGAUUGAUCUCUGAGCCGGAACAGUAGAGGUUCAGUUUCGCAGAUUUCUAUGACCUACUUAUUUGUUUGUUUCUUACACUAGUUACUUCAUUUCCUUUAACAUCGUUUUGAAAACCUUUGCCAUUCCUUUAAUAUUAUUAGCCUUUGCUAGGGUUACUUCUGCAAUUUCUUUUUUUAUUUUCGUCAGAUUCUGCAAUUUCGUUGUGAUAUCUUAUUAAGAAGGAAGAGAAAUAAUUUCUAUAAAAGAUUUUGGUGGAGGAAGAGUACUUAUGAAUAUCUUUUCUUUUUUUUUUUGUUCUUUAAAACAUUCAACUAAUAUCAUUUCAUUACUACAAAGAGGAAUUUAUAAAAAUUUGGAACAUCACCCAAGCAUAAAUAACUUAAGAAGGGUUAAGUACAUUCCCUAUUCAUAUCUAAAACCAAUUAAUAAUUUGAAAUUACAAUAUCCACCAGCUUUUGCAUCUUUCGAAAAGGAAACAUAAAAUGUUUUUGCAAUAUAUAAAUUUUCGACCUGAAUAGUUACGGCCAAGCAUCCUCUAUUAAUUAUGCUGUGCUUACUUGUAAGAUCAGUAGAUGGUACAGCCUAAGUAAUGUAUCAGAGCAGAAGUCAUUCGUGAACUAGCUAAGCGUUUGCACUUUGCAGUUGCUGUGUUUUUAAUAAUUGAACAUGUGAAAGCUCGUCUUUUGUUUUCAAUUUUUUUAUUAAUUAGAUUCCGUAGAUGGUACUCGCGUCCUACUUGUUAUAAUGUUAACAGCAUUAACUAAAUUAAGGUUAAACAUUGUUUAAAUAAGUUGCAUUGAAAAAACAAAUCUCGAAUUAAACAACUAAAAUAAGUUCGAGUCAUAAUGUACGUGAAUUAUUUGUGAUUCUCUUUCAAUUUUAUAGUAAUGUAGUUGGAACCUACAAAAAUAAAUAAAUAUUUUUAAUAUAGCAGUGAACAUGAUCAAAUCUACAUCUAGACAUAGAUGAUUACCUAAGGUGGGUAUGGGAUACUAGACGACAAUUCUCAGUUCAGUUCGCCUAUAUAAAGUGAUUACCAAAGAAAGCUUUGACACCAUUGAUAAAGUUUCUUAUGGCUACUCAGCAAUGGUAAAAUUAUGACGAAUGCGAAAAGGGUUUACUGACACGUGAAAAUGAAUGGGGAGUGCCCGUUUUGCUUGAAUAUAAUGGAGGAUGCAAAUAAUGUUAUGAGAAUUUGUAGUGCUGUUGUUGUUACUUGGGCAUUGGUCGUGAUAACUCAAAAUAUGAAUGAAUUUUUGUCGAUGGAAAUUAAGGAUUGGGUUUUUGUUAAUCUGCGAUUUCCGGAUUAUUUUGCCAAUGAUGCUAUGGAUUGGGAUGUGCUCUUUGAAGUCAUUUGCCGGAACUUAUGGCAAAGAUGUAAUAGGUUAAUCUUCGAUGAAGAUUUCUGUGAUAUGGAAAGUGUUGUGCAAAGGAGGAGCCAAAGGCUGAAUUUAGAGGUCAUUAGGAGUCGGGGUAGUGAGGGGCUGGAGUUGGAUGGAGGGAACCAAUGUAAUCAUCGACCUAAUGGUGGACAAGACCGCCUGAAGUCUGGUGGAAAGUGAACAUUGAUGGGGCAGUAUGACAGAAUGAUAAUGUAGCAGCAGCCGGGGGUAAUUAAAGGAGUUUUUCUAGGUUAUUGGCAAAUUUACGUUACAAAUUUUUAAGCCAACCUUCUUGACUUUUUUUUUGGUUGAAUUCAUUAAAUAAGAUGAAUAAGAGCCAAAUUCGAAAUUCUGUAGCUCAUAAUAUGUUUAAACUACUAAAAAGUUGAAAAUCUAAUUUGUAAAAUAAAAUUCAAUUUUAAAUUCAUUUUUUCAUGAUAAUUUUAACUAAUCCAUGAAAAAUAAAAUAUGAGAUAAAAAGAUAAUUAAAAACAUGAAUAGUAAAUUCAAAACGGAUAUUAUUAUAAAUAAAUUAGAAUUUAUUUAUUUAUUUAAUCAAUCAAUUUUUUAAAUAUUUUUAUUUUGAUCACGUAUAUAAAAAUAUUUACAAUUUAAUCAUUAUCUGAAAACAUUUUAAUUAUCCGGGCAUACCUAGUCAUGUCCACAUAAGCAGUAAUUUUACGCAAUAAAAAAUGGGUUGAAAUAAAAUUUCUUUCGUCACUGUUCAUCUUCCAUUUAAUGUGCUUAGGGGAAUGAGGAAACUGUGAAGAAAAACAGAGGAGCAUUGCCCCUGUCCAUCUUUGGUGAGGAUCCAUUGAAACAUGAAGAUGUUGAUCUUAUAUCCAUCAAUGAUCUUAUAUCAAGUUGGUAUAGCCAAGCUGAGACAAAUGCUUCUUUAAAUCUGACUAGCAAUCCAAGUGAAUAUGGACAUUUUCCCUCUCAGAUAGAUCUGGGUUCCAAAUUAGUAAACGGUUAUAAUAAUUUUGAUGACUACUCCUGGGAAUUUAAAGGUGCCGUUUCUGGAACUGGAGGAGAAAACCAGUUUUGGAGAUUCAUAUGAAAAAUAUACUAUCAAAACAUAGUUAAAUGAUUAUUUAGGAAAAACGGUUUCUGUAGAAAAUUUAAAGCAAUGAGCUAUAAUUGGAGGGGGUUUGGGGACAAUACUGAAACAUAGAUGAUGCGCAUGUUUCGGAAAUAAUAGGAUUAAAAAACAUCAUCCAUAAAUGGUAAUGAAACAAACGAUGAUGUUGUUGUUAUUAUGAAUAAUUUUGUUUGGAAAUUACUUCUUAAAUGGAAAAAUACGCUGACCCCAUUCCACUAUUUUAAACAAACGAUGAUAGCUCUUUUUUCUUUUCUUUUUUUUUUUUACUGUUUAAAAGUACCAUUGUAAUGCUAAAUAAUCAAAAUACCUCAUUUAUUGAUUUAUUUUUCUAAUUGUUUGUUUUUUAGUGAUUUCAUUUUAAAUUGUAAAUGGUAAAUAUAUAUGUGUAUUUUUAAAAUAUUUGUAUGGGCAUGCCAUUUAUUUUAAAUAUAUACAAUUGUAAUGAUGAUGUUUGUACACUACUAUUUAUCAAUUAGUUUCCAUCAAAUUUAAUUUUAAAAUUUGAAUUAAAUAUUAAAAAAAUCAUUAUUAUAUUUAAGUCUAAAAUUUAUAAUAAUUUUUGUCAAAUAUAAGUACUCAUCUAAAUUAAAAAAUAAUACAAAAUGUCAAACUCAAAUAUCAAAUGAUAUAUUAAACUUUUAUUAAAACUAAUAAACUACAAUUUUUUUUAUAAUACUUUCUGCCAAUUUUUUAUUUAUUUAAAUCUAUCCUAAAAACACAUUACAUUUUUUUUACUACACACUAAUGAUCUUAUCCCAACUUUAUAUCUGAUUUCCAGUUUCUGGUUACAGCGCAUGGCCCCCAGAUUUGGAUCCCUGGAUUCUGUAAAACCCCACUGGAUUUUCAAAGUUGGCUGGCUUAACAAAAAUAGAACAAUCAUUGAAUAAUGUGGACACAACAUCUGCAUAGAAAUAUAAUUAUGAUAUUCCCAUCAAAAGUAAACCUAUUGGUUGAAGUAAUUUCAUCUAUGGCGAGAUUAAAAUUAGAUCUGUAGGCUUAUUUGUGUGGUGAUACAACAUAUGAAUUGUAUAAAAAAAAGUCCUUAAUUGUUUUCCAUCUUUAUGAUCAUGUCCCUAGCAUGAUACAGCCUAAGGUACACCAUGUAGUUACUGUACAAUCGCUACUUUGAAUUUGCAAGUUCAUAGCUAAUACAGAAAUGGCGCAAUGUUAUUUAUAAUUUUGUUUAAUGCCUGCUCUAUAUAUUUAGUUAAUUCAAACAAUGAUUCCAUUUAAUCAACACAUAGUAUGUAAUUUUUAAAUGGUUCCGCAUUGAGACGUGGGAAUGGACAUGUCAUAUUAUAAAUUUAUAAUAUGUGGGAAAACAGAUUUCAUUGGAAAAAGGAAAGCAGAGAAAGCAAUUUCACCCUUUGUUUGCCAUUCAUUGAUGAACAUAAAAAUGGCUUAGCACCAAUAAUCACACACACACCAUAUUCUGAUUCUCUCAUGAUUUAGCACCAAUCCUAAAAUGACAAGGAGGAAAUGCAUAUUUGUUCAAAAUGUUUGCUUCAGCAACAAACCCACAAUCCAUUAUUCAACUGUUCAGAGUUCCGGAAGUAAAAUGAAACACAUGGGGAGACAAGUGACAACAAGAACCGUACAAUUGCUCAUACAGAUCUACCUAUGAUUCUCCACCAAGCUCCACUCGCAGGUUGUCAUAUGGAUAUACUUUAGGUGCCUGGUUAACAGUUGCAAAAAAAAAAAGAGUAUAUCAAAAUAUGUUCCCAACAAGUAACACAACUCUAGUGGCGUUCUUUGUUGCAGAGAAAAGUAAAACAAUGGAUGGAAAAAGGAAGUGAAAAAGUGAAAAAAAAUAAUUUGAAUGUACUUGAUACAAAAGAAAAGUGAGAGGAAAGAAAAUAAAAAACAUUUACUAUUUUCAAUCCAAAAGCAUAAAAAUAAAUCAUUCCAAACUGGAAUGAAAGGAGGGGGGGGGGGAAUGAGAGAAAUCUAAGUUAAGUAUACGCAUAUUUACCAGAUUAAAUGUUUUUUUUUUUUUUUAAAUUCCUCUAAUUUUUCGAUUCUACCAAGGAAUGAAUGGAAGAAAAUUAAUUUUCCUUUCCACUUCUCCAUCUUUCUUGCCAAGCACCCUAAUGGAAAGAAAAAUAUAUUUUUCUAUAUUUCUACUUUUCUCCUUCAAUUUUUCAUCUUUCCUUUCCUUUCAACCUUACCAAGCAAAGCCAAAGAUUAUAACAAACUAAUUAGUCGUUGCAAGCAAACACAAUAUUAAACCAAAUUUAACAAAUGCAUAUCAAAUAUACUGCUGUCCUGAGCAAUGUCAUACUGAGUACCUCUACAGAGAGCUUAUGUUCUGCUAUUUAUCAAACAAACCAUUUGAGAUAUCCAUGGAGGUGAGAUGGUAAGUACUUUCGCAUCCCCCAUGUAUAGGAAUAAAAGGAAACUAUCCUACAAGGGUUUUUUUGCAAACCCCAAAAUACAUUGUCAACUUUGCUAACUCAACAUUUGAUGAAGGCAGGCAGCCAAAAGCAGUCUCCAUUCCAAAGGCAAGGGUUCAUUAGAAAAAGAAGCUAGGAGAACCGAAGACAUGGAUCUUAAAUCAUAAACUUGAGCAAAGUUCUUAGAGCUAUAAAAGAUUGUUGAAAACAGGCUAGAGUCAUGAAUCGUCUACAAAGAAAGAUAUUCUGUUCUAACGUGUGUAGUUAGUAUAAUAAUUCAGAUAACCGAUCCCCAAUCCUAUGAUCGCCACUGACUUGUGCAUGAGAUUCAAUUUUUCUAAGCAGACAAACAGAGCGACACUAUGGUACCAUGGCAUUUGAUUCAAUAAUAUCCUCUAUUUCUACUUUUUCCAAUUUGGGGUAUACCAAAAAUCGUCACCAAAGCUACAAAAUGAUAUCACUCGCAUAAAGAAAUUUAAGAGCUAUAAGGAAAUUUGAACUGAACCAAGGCAAAAUCAAACAAUCAAGCCAUUGUUUUUUUUUUUACUUACAAAUGGAAUCUUAGAGGCUUUAUCAUUCCACCAAGCUAAGAAUCCCAACGAUGCAAAGAAGCUCAAACCACCACACAUCCAAGCCAAUGCCUCAUACUAUUCUCAGAAAGAAGACAUAAAAUAAAAAAUCAAACAUAAGAAUAAACAAGGGACGGAAAAAAGAAACUCAAUUUCUUUAAUUAAUCCAAAAUCCCGCAACGAUAAUCACCAAAAGGACCUUAAAAAUUCGAAAAAUUUAUUACCUUUCCGACAGUAUCAGCGAUUCGAUCGAUGCAAGGUUCUGGAAAGGCAGUUCCAUUGUCCCACAUUAGCUCGUCAUUUACAGGAAGCUGAAGCGUCAAAAACAAUGUGAAACUAUUUUAGGGUUUUGGGUGAAUUGUUUUAAUAUAGUCAAGGAAUAAAUCAGGAAAACAAUGGAUUGAUUAAGCUUACAGGCUUGUCGGGCACAAUAUGUUUGCCAACAGGGAGACCCAUGCCGGAACGGAGACGGAGAGAGGAGGCAGCGGAGCGUGAAACGAUGCCGUUUCCGCCCAUGAUCUUUGAUGCUACAUUACUCAAUCUUCCUGCCAUUUUUUUUUUCCUUCGCUUUCUCUAGAACUGAACAGUAGUUUCCUAUUGGGUAAGUUAAUGUAUGGUAGUGUUGGGUCUCGAUAUCACCCAACUUGAUAGGCCCAUCAGUGGUAUUAGGGAAUAAACAAAAUGGAACGGGCUCAUUGUCCUUCAAUAUGGACCUGUUUAUGUACGAGAGAUCAUAAUCAUACUACAACAAUAGUUGUAUAAAAAAUUAAUGGUCGACUUGAGAUUAUGAAAUAAGAGGAGCACUGAGCCAUCAUAAAAUCGAUUAAAAGAAUAUUUGAAUCAGAUUUAAAUAUUUAAUUUUAUUGUUAUAAAUUAUAAAAUGAAUCUUUAUAUUUAUAUUAUUUAUUUAUUUAUUUUCUUAUUUUUUAUGAUUUUUUAAAUUUUAAAACAUUUUAGAAAAAAUUAAUUUUAUAAUUGUUGAAUUAGGAAUUAAUAGUUUAACCAAAAUCAACUGUAUAAUCACAUAUGGCAUUCAAACAUGUCAUCCAUGAAAGCAAAUAAAAUUUAAAGAGAUAUACAUUUGACAUCCAUUUGUUGCCAAAGUAAUGAAAAAAAAAAUAAAGAAUUUGACAAAAAUGGAACCAAAGUUCACUACCUCAAUUAAAAUAAAUAAAGAAGAAUUAUAUAAUUAUGAAUAUCGCUUGGAUACUCCAUAUCAAAAGACAAGUUACACUGGUUAUUCAAGGUAAGCUUACAAAGGUUAUUCGCCACUUUAUUUCUAUCACGUCCAAUCCACUUAACAUCGGCUUUGCCGAAUAGCUCAAUCAUGCCUCUAGUUUUUUUGAUCUGAUGGCCCAAGAUCGUAAUGUCCUCAUGGUGUUUUCGAAAAUGAUUGACUAAGCUCGCAGAAUCAGACUCAAAGAUGACCUUAUCGAAGUUAAACGAGCGGGCCAAAGUGAUACCCUCAAUCAACGCACUUAACUCCGCCCACUAUGUACUCAUAUGAUCCCCUUAUAACUCACAAUGCCACCAAAAGCGAAACCAUUGUUAUCACGAAUAAUAAUCCCAAAUGAAAAAAAUAAAGUUAACAGGGUAGAUUAGCACACGACAUCAAAUUGAACGAUUUUUUAUAUAGAUACCACAUUAUAAAUUGGGUACAAAUUCAGGAUCAAAUAUGAAACUAUAACCCACCUUCUUUUAAUGCUUGUUAAAAUAACAAGCUUUAUCUCAUUAUCUAAUUUCCAAGAUUAAUAGAAUAAAAAAAAAGGUUAAAAAACCAAAUACUAGUAAUAAAAUAAAAGGUCAUUUUACAAUCUAGUUAAUUAAGUGAUCGCAUCUUUUUUUCCUUAAUUAUCGGAUAAUUUAAUUGAAAAUGUAAUUAAGAGGACAUUAAUUAGUCCAUCAUCCGAUCUUAAAAUGAAAGAAACAAUUUAGUGAUAUAAUAUUCCAAGAAUAGUCUCCCAAAUCAUAUUCAUUAGGAAUUGCAAAUCUAAUGAAGAUGAUGAUUUGCAAUUUUUAGAUUUAUAUCUAAAUAUCAUCCAAAAUGAGAAAAAAAAACUGAUCACAGACAAAGUCGUAUGCAAAGGUUUCGUGAAAUGAACAGAUUGAAAUAAUUAUAUCCAUAACAUUUUAUUUCAUGGUCAUAAAUGAAAAAAAAAGAAAAAUCUCUGAUUACAUAAAAAACCAGAAUCGCGACAAUGGAAAGGAAGGUGAUAACCAUUAGCCAUCUCGUCCAUAAGAACAUUAUUCGCACAAACGAUGAUUCAUGCAUGACAAAAAAGACCUAGACUAGACCAUUUGCCCAAGCAGAUAAACGAGGAGAUAAUGACAAGAAUAGUGAGAGCGGUUUCGUUAGCAGUAGUAGGUUCUGGUUGGCCGACAUCCACAGCCAUUGAGCAGUAGCUCCAGUUGAACGGUAGGGUCGGCUUCAACGAGACCCAAGUUAUUGGCCUUCACGAUAGCGCAAAGGCAACGCUCCGCUUUAAGAGCUACCAAAUGUUGAAUGUGGGUGCAGCAUGGGCUAUCUUUGGCAAGAAUUCCCCCGGGCUUCAACACGUUGACGCAAACAUUCACGUUAUUCUUUGGGCAUUCGGUAUGUUUAACAAUGUUAGCGUUGGCCACUGAGAAAAAGAGCAGGUUAAGGGAGAGAAGUAGGAUUGCUGCUGAAACCUUGGAAGCCAUUUAUCAAAGGAAACACAAAUUGAACUUAAUUAGUGCAAAGGUUGGUCGAGCUGAAGAAAAACGUUGAGUUCAGAGAGGCUUUUUAUAGAUGGGAGGUAGGGAACAGUUUGGGUUUUAAAAAAACAAAUACAAAAUGGAGUCCCAAUAUGGCCAAUUUCGAAUCACGAUCUUCGAUAGGCUUUAGAUGCUUUGAUUUUCGUUUUUUUAUAAUUUCCCUAGGUUUUGUUUUAGGUUAAGCUAAGAUCAUGCAUUAUUUUAGGAUGAAAGCAUUUGCAUUGCUAAACUUACGGCUAAACCUAUGCUUUACGCCCAACACCUGAUGGUCGGCAGAACCAGCGAGGAAAGUGUAUACUAGGUUGUUAAAAAA
rnacentral:lncRNA from 1 species